GUAUCAAUAGUAUUGUGAAUGAUUCAUUUUCUAAAUCUUUGUAAUUGUUUCAUCCCUUCAAUCUAUAACCCUGCAUGCUAGCUUUAUUAUUAGAACUAUUAUACAGUUUAGUUAAGAUAGUCGUCAAUCUGUUUCAGGUAAAUAUAGCAUACCGUUCUGGUAUGAUAUUCUCAGUCAUUGAUGAUAGCAUGGGAUCGUAUCCAUCUGAAUGCGUGGAAAAGUUCAUCAACCUGGCUCUAAAAUGUUGCCGAGAGGAGCCUGACGCCCGGCCUUCGAUGGCUGAAGUGGUUCGAGAACUUGAGAGUAUAUGGCUCAUGAUGCCAGAGUCUGAUACUAUACUGGUUGACUCGUUGGUUACUGACCCUGGAAAGGUUGAAACCACAACAACUCCAUCUUCAUCUUCCACGAUGAGAAAUCCUUUUCUUUCAUCAGAUGUCUCUGGUAGUGACCUUGUUAGCGGAGUUGUUCCCACCAUUACACCUAGAUAAAAAUAGACCUUUCUUCCUGUAAUUAUCAUUUUGCAGCGGUAGGUGGGAGGAGUCAUUUUAUGUAUAGAUUAUGUGAUUACAUCUUAUUUGCAACAUUCGCAGCUUAAUGGUUUAGCUAUAGAAAAUGCAAAAUCCUUACCUUUCUGCUUGAUCUUUUGCAUUUUGCAUGCUUUCUGAAAAUUUAAUGCGUCAAAACGGUAUGCCAAACGCAAAUUUAAUUCAUGUGCCACUAGGGCCUGUCGUAUCAGAUAUCGUGGCUGUACUUUCAUCUUUCUUUCCAGUCCUUGAUACACUUUCUCAUUCCUUGCUAUCCAUGCCCAAUGAACCACUUGUUGAAUCAACAUUGGCCAGUAUACCUCGUUCUGCUUCCCAAUCAUUCUUUGGUUCACAUUCCAGUCCAUCCACCAUGUUAUGCUGCUGGAUUUGAACUCUCUCCAUUUUGAGCGAUGUACCAGCUGCGUCCAUAUUCUGCCAAUCCAUUCACAAUCCCUUACUGCGUGUAUUGCUGCGUCUCUCUUGCUGCCACAUAACUGACAUUUCCCAUCUAUAUGGAGAUGCCUUCUGUGUUUCUCUACAUUAGUUAACAGUCGACCGUGUCUUGCUAUCCACAGGAGAAAUUGCCGUCUACCUGGACCUUUUAGUUUCCAUAUCUCCUCUCCCAGUUGGGGUCUGCUUCUGGAAGUUCUUCUGACUGCCAAUCCAGCUCAUAUGCUGAUGCAGAUGAGAAAUUUCCACUAUACUAGGAAGCAGGCGGUUGAUCCCAACGAUGAAAUUGCGCAAGUGUCAUUCUAAGAAACAGCCAUUCAGGACAGUAUGCCCACACAAAUCUUAGAAAGUUAUCAGAUCAACAGAACAUUGCAUGAUCUGAAGGUAAACCAAGAAUGUCCAGUAGUAUGGCUAUGUUCGUUCAUAGGUCCUACAUGGAGAAUUAGUUACUAGUGUAGUAGUACCGUGUUUGCCUGUUUGGAACGCUGCAUGCUUUUUCAGUUAGUGCUCACCGCCAUUCCGUAAUUCAAAAAAAUCUCCAACUCCAAGGGACACAACCGUAUGUGGCCGCUUAUAGAGAGAUUGGUUUUGAACUUAAGUUGUGGUGCAGGUGCAGGCAAUCUGGUUAACACUUAGGAAUUUAGCAGGUCGUAUGAUUACGGGUUCUGUAGUUAAGGGUUAAUUGCAAUUUAUCCCCCCAAGGCACAUUCUAAUUUUUAUUUUACCGUCUAACUUUUAUUUUGUAUCACUUAGCUUUUUAAGAUACGAAAAUAUCUCUCUACUACGUUCAGAUUUUAUUUUUUUCCAAUGAAUUUUAACAUGGAUCAAUUUUGACUCUUGUAAAUGAUAGUGAUAAAGUUUCACAUGUGAGGAGUAGAUAUAUUAGGAAAUGGACUAACAUUUGAUUUUUUUUUUAAAGGUCAAAAAAGACCCCAAUAAGCAAAAGUUUAUUAAAGAAAAGAGGACAAAAAAAGGGUCCAAAUAACCGACAUGUGAAUGUGUAAUUGUAAAAAUCGUUAAUUGAUUUUGAAUCAUCUACUUAUAAUGAAAUAGAAUACAAUUUUUUUUAAAAUUUCUUAAUUGGAUAAUAGAUAAAAUUGAUUUUUUAAUUAACUAAUAGAUGGGAAAAUAUAUGGCUUCUUUAAUUUUAUAAUUAGAGAAUGGACAUCCCAAAAUUUUAGUUAAACAAAUUUUUUAUUUGCUCAAAAUAAAAUUUUGAAAGAAAACUAAUUUGGAAUUGGAAAAGAUAAUAGAGAAGAAAAAUUAAAAAAAAAAAUCAGCAUAACAAGAGGGUAGUUUUGUCUUAAAGGGGGUUAAGUGACACAAAAAAAGGGGUAAAGUGAAAAUCUAGAUUUAUGUUAAAGGGAUAAAUUGUAAUUGUGGAUAAUAAGUGGGUCAAAUUGACCAUGUAAAUAAAUGACAAAAAAUUGAAUUGAAUAUGCAAAUCGGAAGCUCAGCACACCUGGGUACCCAAAUCCUUAGCCCAAUUCUGGAAGCUUCUCUCACAAUCCCAGUCGAUGAUGCUCAGACAAUUGGGCUAAAACUUUUCAGACAAACCCUACCCAGUAGCAUUAAGUCGGUCCGUCUAGAUUAAUAAUCGCCCAUGACGUAAGCCCACACGUAAGCCCACACGGCCCAAGUCAAUAUCUUCUUUUACCCUGCGCCUCCUGAAUCCAUAUUUAAGCAGCAUUUCAGCCCCAGAGCUAGGGCUUUUUCAUAGUAAUUGUCUGUCCUUCGAAGCCGCAGCUCUCAACCUCUCAAGAAGACCUGCGCCAUGGGGAGAAGUAAGCUCUCUUUGAUCCUUCUAUAGAUGAUUGUAGACCUUUUCUGAAACAUGAUUUCAUGUGCUAAAGAACAUCGUUUUGGUUUUAAUUUCAUGUCUAGCUUAGAAGUCGUGGUUAUUUGGGAAAUCAUGAUGUUUUGGAUCUUCAAAUUACGUCUAGGAUUUCUGAUUUUUUUGCUCCUUUCCUUGUACUUCUGAUAUUGAUUGAUGAUUAUGUGAGUUUUUUUUAUGUGUGUUAAUUAAAAUGAUGGAAGGUUAGAUCCUUAUCUCGUUGAAAGCAAUUAUGGUUUGGUGGAAAUGGGAUGUUUUUCUUGGUUUUUUGAGCGAUUUAUUUGUGAUUUUACCGGAUGUCCGAAGUUGUACGGUUGCUGAUAUUCUUAUGGUUCUUUUUUGUAAUUUAUUAAAUGUUGAGGCUGUUGUAUAGCUUAGAUUUUUUCAUGUCUUUAUUGAUUGCUCAAUUUAUGAAUCUGUAGUUGCGUUACCCCUGGUUUCAUGAUUUAUGAACCUGUAAUAUUUGACGGAUUUAUUUCAAUUUUGUAUAAAAUAUGGAAUGUGGUUGAUAUAUCGUCUGUUGCUAAUCUUUUGAUGCCGUGCUAGUUGUUUUUUUCAAUCUGUUCCAUUACACAUCUUUAUUGAAUGUUAGUAUGGUUAGGUACAUUCUAGUGCUAUUCAUUCCAAAUCCAUUAGAUGUAAUAUCCCUACCUUGUGGUUGGUUUUCGGUGUGGUGUAUUUUGAACUUGUUGUAAAGCUUAGUGUUAUUUGGAAAUGAAUAUAGUGAUCUAUUAAUAUCACUGUGAUGGUUUUAAGAUGGUUUUUAUUCCAACUGAGCAGGACCUGCGAGGUGUUACCGUCAGAUAAAAAACAAACCCUAUCCAAAGUCAAGGUACUGCCGUGGUGUUCCAGAUCCAAAGAUCAGGAUCUAUGAUGUUGGCAUGAAGAAGAAGGGAGUUGAUGAGUUCCCAUUCUGUGUCCAUUUGGUUAGUUGGGAAAAGGAGAAUGUCUCCAGUGAAGCACUUGAGGCUGCUCGUAUUGCUUGCAACAAGUACAUGACUAAGUAUGCUGGGAAGGACGCAUUCCAUUUGAGGGUCAGAGUUCAUCCUUUCCAUGUCCUGCGUAUUAACAAGAUGUUGUCAUGUGCUGGAGCUGAUAGGCUUCAAACUGGUAUGAGGGGUGCUUUUGGGAAGCCACAAGGAACAUGUGCUCGUGUUGCUAUUGGUCAGGUACUUCUCUCUGUACGCUGCAAGGAUGCUAACAGCCACCAUGCUCAAGAGGCUUUGCGCCGUGCCAAGUUCAAGUUUCCUGGUCGCCAAAAGAUCAUUGUUAGCAGGAAGUGGUAUGUUUCACCAACUUUUACUGGCUUUUAUUGCUAAAACAGUGCAUAGGUAUCUUUUACUGGUGGUUCAUUGCAUAUCUUAGCGUGCACACCUAAUAGUCUCUGCUUCUUGUCAACAUACUCAUUAAAAGUGCUUUCCUCUCUGUUUAUAUUAAAACAGUACUCUAGAAUUCCUUCUUAGAGUCCAUCUUGUAGGUUUAUUUUCCAUAAUUUGGUUUUGAUCUUUUAAGAAAUUCAUCUAUCAUACGAACUGCACAUUUAGGGAGGAGAAACUUUAUGCUCUUUAAGUUAUUUCAAAAUUCACACAUACUUUGUUUAAUCAUUGUGUACUCCAUUGCUCUUUACAUGAAGUUUUGUUUGCUUUUGGUCUUCUCACAUUUUUUUUGGCCUGAAUUUCAGGGGAUUCACCAAGUUCAGCCGCACAGACUAUGUCAAAUGGAAGCAAGAGAAUCGUAUUGUCCCAGAUGGUGUUAAUGCCAAGGUUUGUUGCUGCUAUCUUUGUUUGAUUUGGAGCUGUUUUUGCUUGUAUUGCUGUUCUUUGAUUGUACUCGACUUUUGGUUGUAAGGCUAGUGCUAACUUGGUUUUGUUCAAAUCUUGCAGCUUCUUGGUUGCCAUGGACCUUUGGCGAACCGUCAACCUGGAAGAGCGUUUUUAGAAGCAACUUCUUAGUUUACUUCAUUAGCAUUUUGUCUCUAGUACUGUUGGAUGAUGUACCCAGAUUUUGGGUUUUUUUUUUAUAAUUUUGUCGCUUUGCUUGAAACUGUUAUUUAGAGCGUGUCUUAAAACCCUUGGUUUGAAUUUGUCGUACACUUCAAUGUCAGCUUUCUUUCUGGUUAAAUUUUGAGUUUUAAAUCUUAUUUAUGCUGUCUAAUUCAGCAUUCCCAAAAUCAAGAAUUGCUGUGAAUGGGUACGAGGUUCUGCUUAAUUUCCAUUUUGAUUUGUUUACUUUCGGUUCUGAAGUAUGGCACAAAAGCAUGCUGUGGAGGUGGGAGAGUUGCUUACAACUUUAACCUACAAGUUUAAUGUGGAAACAACAAACAGAUCAUCGGAUACAAAGUCACGAGGAAAUAAAUAUGGAGUCAAAGUUUCAGAUAAAUUUGUAGUCCAUUCCAGAUAGACCAUCAAGAAGCUGAGUUAUCACGUUCCAAAUCGGACCAUAAGAGUAUACCUGUAGUAGUCAGGCAGAAUACAUCCCUGUAAUACGGCAAGGUGGGAAUUUCAUGGUGAGUGAUGUCUUAAUCUGAAACAACAAUAAUAAUUGACUCUAGGAAAAAGUUGCAUGAUAAGUGCAGCAAACCUUCAAAUAAGAUAAAGAGAUAAAAAAGGAUGGGGAUAUGUGAAAAACGGGAAGUAAUUACUGGUUUCGUAUACAGGAGAGAUGGAAAUCUUGGCAGCCAAACCUGUUCUGUGCAUACCCUUUGGCUGCCAUCAUAAAGAGUUAAGGGUUAAUGUCAAUUUAUCCCCUUAAGAUAUUACCCUAACUAUUAUUUUUUGUCACUUAGCCCCUUAAGAGAAAAAUACCUCUCUGUUAUGCUAAGUUUUUAUUUUCAAAUUUUCUACUUUAAUCGUUGAGCUUUAGCUUGUGAUUUGAUUUUGACCACUCUAAAUUGAUGGUGGUAAACUUUCGUACGAAAUGAUUACUAACAAUUGAUUAUUUUUUAAAAAAGGACAAAAACAGAUCCUAAUAAACAAAAACUCAUUAUAAGAUGAACCACAAAAAAAGUUUAGUGCGGAUAUGUGAAUGAUCGUAAGAAUGCCUAAUUGAUUGUGGAUAGUGUAAUUCUAAGGAAAUAGAAUAAUUUUUUAAAUUAGAGAAUGGACAUCCUAAAUUUUUUGUUAGAGAAAUUUAUUAUUUUCUUAGAAAUAAAAAUUUGGUAAAAGAAAGCUAAUUUGGAAUAACAAAGAGAAGAGAGGAAAAAAAAAUUACAUAAUAGAGGGGUAUUUUUAUCUCUUAGGGAGUUAAGUGACAUAAAAUAAAGGUUAGGGAAUAAAGUAAAAAUCAGGGUUUACCUUCAGGGGGUAAAUUGCAAUUAACCCGAUAGUUAAUCACCAAUUCUGCAGAACAGUAAGUCAUCGUAGAUUUGUGGUUAACAAAUGAAGUGACCAAAUACACUAUUCCCCACUUGAUUGCAGCCAAAAAAAUGGCGCCGAAGCAAAUAUCAACAAGAAACCCAUCCGUCACUCACAAUCCUAUACGAGGAAUUGGAAAUACAUAAGUAAGAGUUCACAUCGUUUUCGAUUUGUACGUCUUACCCUCAACAAAAACAAAGCUUUGCCAUACUUGUGAGCUGAAAUCACUUUAAUUUGCUGCUGCUACUCCAUCCUAAAGCCUUCAACAAGGAAUACCUUCUUCAGACAAAGAAACUAAGCUUUGACAUACUUGAAAUCUGAAAUCACUUUAGUCUGCUACUCCGCCUCCGACCUGAAGCCUUUGAGGAAGCAUCUUCUUCUGGCCGUAUUGAAUCUUUUGAUCGAGUGUUGUCUUUCUUUCUCUGCUUCGUCUUCUCUUUUGGUCUUUCUCCAGCAUCACUUCCUCCUUCCUCUUGCGUAGAGCAGCUGACUGCUCUGACUAUGUAAACCUGCAGGAAAUUGUACCAAUGAUUCAUAAUCACUUUCCCAGAAAGAAUUGGCAUUCCAACUACCAUUAGGAACCAAGCAAAAGCACCAUAUUUGAAGCUACUGCAUUCCAGCGAAUAGAUGAUUGUUUGGACUUCAGGGCGUGUGUUUUACUAGAGAUAGGAACGAGAUGAACUCUUCCCAAAUUGGAAGCUUGAACAUUCGAUUUAAAGAACAACCAUGCUAACUUUAAGUUUACUUCCAUAUUCUUAUGAUAAUAAAUUGCAACAUAUAACAAAUGUAGUAAUUCCACCAACCUUGAAUCUCGUUGGCUCAAUCAACUCAAAUACUAAAGCAUCACCAUCAUCCAGUUUAUGUUCCAGAGCAAAUGCUCUCCAUCCACCACUAAGCCCACUUCUCUUGCUAAUGUAGACAGCCUCAAACUCCAAGCCAUCCUCAUCCUCUAAAACCAUAUCUACAGUAGACUUGGGCAAAUGGUCCUCACAAAAUGAACUUGGAAGCCCCUGAUCAUUGCAUCGAAUAGAAGUGUUAAGAGGGAUUUGUGCAUGUUAACCAUGAUAUUCUGCAACUCUUCUCUUCUCCCCAUCCCACGCAUGCUGUUUUAACAUUGGCAAUGUACAGCUACUUACCAACCAGAAACAACUAUAAACAUGAGACCGAACCAUUGACUUGAUAAAGGAUGGAUUCUCUAACUGUAAGUUGCUUUGGAGAAUCUCAGCAGACAGCCGUGCGCGAGAUCUUUCUUCAUAUGACGCGGCUCUAACUUCUUCCAUUGGUCUAGCCAGAUAACUGCCAGUCCAGGAUUAGUAUUAGCAGAAAUUUGACCAAACCACAUGGCAAUAAUAAAUAGAGAGAGUAUUAUAUUACCUUGCCCAUGAAGAACUCCACUUUGGUCUCUUCCGCAUACGUGGAAGGUCUACAUCUACCUGUUGUUAAGGAGCAACUUAUUAGGUGAUUUAUCAAAACUAAAUGCUGGAGAACAGACCUAUGCUUUUGCUUCUAAAAAACUUAGUAAGCAUCAAUGAACGAUUAACAGGAGAUAAUAGGAUGAAAUGAUCUAAAUGAAAUAACACUCCGAAUAUGUUGAUCACUGUCUCAGAGUCAGGACAUUGGCAGGAAAGAAACAGUCAUAUAAUAAUUGACCUUUUGCUUUGCAUUUUUAGUUGUGAUUUAAAAUAUGGGGGCCCUCUGAGUUUAUCAUGAACAGGAAUAAGAAACUAUGAAUUUCUUCAAUCAUAGAUCUAUCUGAUUGGAAGCAUGAAACCAGAACUCAGGCACAGGUGAGCAAAUAUGUCAGGAGCAUGAGUCUUUGUUCUAAACUCGAGGGUGGGAAGAUCAAAACUUAGUUACUUACAUCAUCGCGGUAUGAAGUAACCUGAGUGCGCGCACGUGAUGACCGUCUUGGCUCCACCAUGUAAACAUCGUUUGGUUUUGGCCUACUAAGGCUUCGCUGCUUCGCAUAAUGAGGGCAGAAAAAAGUGAUUAGAGAACCUAAAGACUCGUAAAACUGAAAAUUUUAGUAAAGGAAAAGGAAUAGUUUUACCUUUGACUUCUUCUCAGAUUUUGAUACGUCAGAAAGGCUCUUGGAGAUGCUCAAAAUCCCCAGAUCCUUUCGCACAGUGGAUAAAAAAAAAUGAAUGAAUGAUAGAGACAAAUUGAACUCUAUUUUUUUGUGGCAGUUAAUUUGUAGUCCCACAGCAGCAACAUACAAAUGUGGACUACUGUUAUUAAUGUGGCAACAGAAGUUCCAUGUCCCUGAUUUUGUGAUAAUAAAGAAAUGCUUGAUUUCAUCUCAUUUCUUAAUUUGAAAACAUGUUGACUUCUCUUGAAAAAAUAUUCUUCGUAGAAAAUUGUAAAUAUAUGCAUAGGAGGAUGGCUCGUUGGAGACAGGGAAAGAAGCGAACUAAUGUACCAACACAUUGAGGACAGAGUGAUAGAAGUAGAUAGCUACCUCGAAUCUUUUCUUGUUGUCCAAAACCCUUUGCUUACGAGCUUCUUCGUAAGUGUUGGCGUUGUUGUCUUUUGCCAUUUGUUGCCAACUAUCCUUCAAGAACUUAGAUGGCCAAUGGGCUAAAACUUGUGAUAUAGAAUCUCCUGAACGAUUAACGUCCGCCCAAUCGUUGGUUAUGCAUAGCAAAGUAAUUAACAGAGUCCCAGAUUGAGUAAUCUAAAAAAUAAUUAAUCCUCAUUUUUUUCCCCUUUUUCUUUUUUGACAUCACAAUCAUGAUCAUUCUCCCAUUUGCAAAAAAUAAUAAAUAAGUAAAACCCAAACUAAUCAAUUAUUAUCUACGGAAACGCCUUGGUUCGUUUUUUUUUACCUUCAAAAAAAAAAAAAAAAAAAGAGGCGACAAGCAUAAACCAGCAUCUAAAAUUAUGAAAAUUAAGAAAUAUAAGACACAUGAAGAAAGAAUCCGACUGAUAGAGAUUACCACAACCCCGUUGUAAUGCAGCUGUCUUUUCUUACUGAAAAUAACAAAGAACAAAAAAGAAGAAAGAAAUAUAGCUGUAGUACGAUCAAAAUAAGAAAAGAUUGGAACUUACCAAGAAAACAUUUUAUUAACCCCACAGCUGAAUUCUGAGGGAGAAGACGAAAAGGUUAGCAACUGAGUUGAGUUGUGGAAUGCAUACUGUCAAUACUCAACAUAGUGAAACAGAGACGAGAUGACCGGCGGGCCCGGCAGGCAAAAAGGCAAGAAAAUACCGGUACGUUUGAUAAGGAAAAAAAAAAAAAGAAAGGCCUUCAUUUGAAAUUUGAAAAGGCUUGUUUACCCGCGCGAUUCACACCUACUCCGGUGUUUUAAUUUGGAUUAUUAUCACUUUACCCCUUCAAACUAUAUCAUUAUUAUCAAUUUACUCUAUAACGUUAUUUUUCGGCUACUUCAUCCUCAUAGGUAAUUCAACUCAUGUUAACAAAUUUUGAACAAAAAUAUUUUUUUAUUUUAUAGCAUUACUACAUUGUUAUUAUUGCUUUAUCCGUUUAAAUUAUAGUGUUACAAUCGCUUUAUCCCAUAACAUUAUUUUUUAGGCAUUUUUUUUCCAUUGUUUACCUGACCAAUGUGUUCGAAAAUUUUUUAAUGCAUUUACCCUUUUUAUGUAUAAUUAAAAUAAAAAAAGUAGGAAUUUUAUUCUUCUCUUUUUUUUUCACUCUAAGAAUUCCAAAAACAUGACAAUAAAAGGAUUUUCUUAAAUUUCUUUGUUAUGCUUAUCAAUACUAACAAGGAAAAAGAGAUAGGAGAGAAGGAGACAUAAAAUUAGAUUUUGCAAAGAAGAAAAUAAGAAUGAAUCUAAUAUUAUCUAAUUACUUUAACGUCGUCGAAAUUAGGAUUAGAAUUAGGUGGCCAAUAGAAAAGUAAAGUAAUUUUCAACUAAUAAAAAUAUUGAAUUAUUUUUCAAAUAAUAAAAAUAGUAAAUUCAUUCUUAUUUGUAUUAAAAAAAAAAGAAUUAAGCUCUCUCUUCUACCCUAAAUUUCUAUUUUUUUCCAAUAUUAAUAAGAUUACCAAGAAGCAAGAAAUUAAUGUUCUGACUUUUUUCUUUAUACUAAAAUAGAGAAGAGCCACUCUAAUUUUUCUGCUAUUUUUAUUAUACAAAAAAAGAGGGUACUUUAUUCUAAAGUAUGUUAAUUUGAUAAGUUGAUUUAAUGGUAGAGUAAAUUGUCUAAAAAAUAACACUAUAAGUAAAUAGAUGGAUAAAGUGAUAAUAAUUUUAAGGGCGAAACAUGUCUUUUUGCUUGAAUUAACAAAUUUCAUUAGGUUUGCUGAUUAAUUUUGGAAGUAAAGUGACUAAAAAUUAACGUUAAGAGGGAAAUUUGUAAUUACACCAAAAGUUAAGGGGGUAAAGUGAUAAUAACCCUUUUAAUUUUAAGUGUAGCUGACGUCGAAUAAAGGUCACGAUGUCUUCACAACGACAGCGUCUUGCUCUACGUUGGCCUUUGGGCAUCGGUUUUGAAUUUUUAUUUUUAUGUUUUUUUCCAAGAUCAGAUGUUUGCACCGAUUUGGUUUAGUAGUUUUCUUUUGAUCUCUAUCUCUCUUAUGCCCCCACUUUCAUCGUAAUUAUGAAUUUGAUCCCCCAAAUGGAACUUUUAUUCUAAUCUUCCUUUCCUUAAUGUUUGUAUCCAAGUAUUUUGUGACCUCUUACUAUCUGGAAAAGGUUCGAUAUUCCAGUCAAAAUUCGUGAAGCAUAUCAAUGAAAGUAAUUAAUCCUUCCUUGAUAUAUUUAAUUAUCUUCAUGGCACUGCUAUGUCUAAUUUCUUGCAGACUAAUUGCUGUAUCUUUUGUUUUAGUUGGUAGCAAGAAGCUAUUUAAUUAAAGCAACUAUUUGAUUUAUAGAGAAACUGUAUGGGCUAUUGAAUAGAUAUCCAAAAUACGUUUAAGGACUAAAUUGUAGAAAUAAAAAUGUUUGAAAUAAGUAGGAUUUCUAGUAAAAGAACAAGACUUUGCAGGUAAUUCAUCCUUAUGAAUUGUUCAGCAAAAUUAAAAGUACUUUAUUUAAUUCUUUCAUUUUUUUAAUCAUGCGCUGUUGAAUAUAACUUCAAAAUCAUAAUGAAGUCUGUUAUCCCAAAUAAAAACUUUAAAAAUUUGGAUUGAAAAUCAUUUUUCAAAUUUUUUUUAGACUGUAUGAUGAAUAUGUUUUUUAAUCAUCUUUUUAUCUUCUCAACUUAUAUUUUUAUAUCACAUACAUCAAAUAAAAAAUAAUUACACUAUUAUUCUCAAAAAAGAAAAAUCCAAAUAAUCUUCAAUCCAACCUGAUAUACACAUAGUUUUCACACAUUAAAACUCCUAUAAUUAAAGGUGAAAGAAGUAUGUUUAUUAAUAUUGUUAAUUAAGUUUCCUUGAAAUUUCAUUGCACAAAUUUUUCUCAGAUAUAUUUCUUGUUGUCAUACUCAUUGACAACAAGUCUUUGUUUUCAUCUGUAUAAGGUAUACGAGAUACAUGACGCUCUAUAUCGAUCUAACGGUUACAAUUAAUAUUCAUCACAGUACAAUUAUUGUAGCCUUUAACGAUAAUUAGCAUAUGUAUAAAAGAGGGAAUGCCAUGCCUCAAGAGUGUGUAUUAUAUUGGUGAUGUGGCAAAAUAUGAUUGGGUGGAUGUUCGUCCAAAAUUUUUUAAUCCCAUGGUUUUGUUUAUCAUCAUCAUCAUCAUCAUCAUCACGUGUUCUGCAGGUGACUUCUUUUAAACCACAGAUUCGAUUGAUUUGAUUGGGCAAUUAGGUUACUUGCUCCCGACUUUUUCAGUGAGAGGUUACGUGUUUCCGGCUAUUUCAGUGACAAUCACAGUGGGAAUGGGCUCGAGAUACUUGUGACAGACGUCAAAAAAUUUUCUCCUCUUUCUGCAACAUUUCUUCCAGACUUCUACGCUUCCAUCUCCCCGAGUCCUUCUACCUCUCCUUCCCUGCCAGUCUCAUCAUCUCAUUCUCGGGUAAAUUGGGUUACCCACUAUCAUAAAAGGAAAAAAAUGAAGAUUGCUUCUCCUUUUAAACUCCAUGUACACCCCUUCUCAGAAAUUCUCGGCAUCAUCAUCAUCGGUGAGUUUUUUUUUUUAAAUUACUUGAUUGUACUUCUCAAAACCCCAUCUACUUAUAUAAACCCUCCUAUUCUCUCCGGCCUUUUCUCCUUCAUUUCUCUCAUCAAAGCUGAUAUUACCAUCUCUCUCCCUAUUUCUCUGCCAUUUCAAAAUUUUUGUGCUUUUUUUUUAUAUGUUUCCCAAAUUAUAACGUUCAAAUUGGGCCCAAUUUUAUUUUUUUUCCAAGAUUUUUAGAGUUUUCUUUGAACAAGUUCUUGUUUUCCACAAAUUAUUUGUGUAGCAUUUGUUUCCAGAAGAGGAGAUAGGGAUUGGGUGUGUGUUUCUGUGUGUGAAAAUGGCGGUGAAAGAAAGACGCAAAUUCAGGGCUUUGGAUUUGUACAUAUGCCAAUUGAAGAUUCAGGUAAACUAAAGCUAUUCGUUUCACUAAUUUUUUGUUUUCCUUAUUGAAAUUCAAUUCAUUCUUUCUAAUAAAUAUUUCAUCAGAAAUACUUGAUACAUGGUUGUUCUUGAAUGUUUUAUACAGAUUUUUGGGGUUUUUACUGUAUUCAGAUGGGGGAUCAGCUGUGCGUUUCGGCCUCUCAAAAGUGCAGCAAAAGGAAGGCGUAAAUUAAUGGAAAUGUUAGUUGAACAUUCAGGUGAAUGAUAUCUACUGAUAUCUUUAAUUCUUUUAUUUUUCUUUUCUAAAUGGUCUUUGAAUUUUAUCAAUUUAUUUUCUCAGUAUUGCUAAUCUUUUCUGACUAAAUGAUCUUUUUUCUUGCUUUUUUCCAAAGCUGAAAUGGGUAACUUUUUGAUUUGUUUUGUUACAGAUUUAUGGACUUCAGAAUUUUGGGAGAUGGGAAUUUAGUUUAUUGGCAUAGAAUUUUUUUAGAGUAAAUUUGAAUUUAUGAAAAUUUGGGUUUAAGAUUUCUAUAUUAUAGAAAGUGAUUCAGGGUUAAAUCUCGAUUAUGGUGUUCCAGGAUCUGUAACUUUGCUUGGCAGAUUAGGUUUUUCAGCAUAAAUCUUGAUUAGGUUUCCUAGGAUAUGUAACUUUACUUGGUGGAUCAGGGUUUUAGGAUUUUUAUGAUUUUCAGUAGCUUCAAAUCCGAGAUUUUUAAUGUGCCCCUGAUCACUUGAUUUGUUUGAUAAUUUCGAAAACAGAUGAUAUAGAAGGGGAAGUUAUGUGCAAAAUCUUUUGUUUUUAAUUUUUUUAUUUUUAUGGUUUGUCAGUUUUGGUCAUGUACUAUUACAUUGGAGGAGUUAGUUUUAGAUUUUGACACUUUUUAGUAGCUACUGUUGUAGUGAUAUCUCACUUUUGCAUGAUUUAUUAGUAAAAUGAAUACUUUAAGUUGCUUGCUGUUUGUGCUCAUAGUUUGAGAGUGACUAGACAUUAAGCUAUGCUAUUUAAUGACUUUAGUAGAUUGUGAAUUUGUGAUGCUUGUGCUUUUUACAUUGGCGCAAUAGAUCAAGUGAAGAAUUUGAGGCUGCUUUUCUUUUGUGGUCAUCGUUGGAGAGUGAUUUUAUCUUUCAAACUUCUGCUAUUUAAUCAUCUGGGAUGACUUGUAACUUUGCAGGGGUACUGUCUUUUUACUUGAUUGUGAUCUCUUAACCAUGUUGAUUAUUGAUCAAUCACUGUCAAGAAUGUUUUAGAUUGCUCGCUUGUUGUGGUCAUAGAUUGGAAGCAUCUCUGCUUUGCAUCAACGUUUUUCUUGCAUCAUGUCCUUUUCUAUUGCUAUAUGGCUGUUUUCUUUUCAUAGCCCUUAUUUAAGUCUGAUGGUUCUUGGCUAUUCAUUCAUAUUGUUCCAGAGUCCUAGAUGGUAGUUGUGGUUGAUAUAAAACGCAAUUCUGUUCCAUUUGUAAUUUGAUAAAUUGGAAUUUAGUUUUCCGGAUAAGUUGACUUAUACUCUCAUGUUAGUUUAAUUGUGCCACAUAAUAAUGUCCGGAGCAGUAUUUCAGUUCUCUAUAUGCAUGAGUCAUUGUUGGAUUUAGUAUCCUGAUUUUAGUUAAUAGAUGAAUGCUGAGUAGCUUUGCUGUGUACUCGUGAAUUAUUGUUAGAUGUAUACGCUUCAAGGAAGAUGGAUUCUUCCUUGUCUAACUUCUAUUACAUCCAUCUACUUUUUUAAGUUAAACUCUGUUUUUAUUAAAUGUCUAAUUAUACGCCUUUUUGUAUUUGGUUGUAGUUUUUGUGAAGACUUGUGCUUUUAAUUUUCGCUAACUAAUGCCUAUCAGUGUACAUAGUUAAGGGUGUUGACUAUCGUGCUUUCUGGGGCCCAUUAAUUGGCUGGUUUAUUUGUCUCAAGUGAUUAGCAAUCUAGCAUCCGAGGACUAACUGAUUGUGAUUUUGAAAAUGUAUACACUGUUGCAGUUUUGUCAAUUCUUUCAAAUUGCUUGCGUUUGUUUAGGUCUCAAUUUGAGAGUGCUUCUUGCUUUGAGUUUUUUUCAUGGGGAUACUUGUUAUUUUUGUCAUCUUGUUUAUGUCUCAUGGGCUAUAGUCAUUUUGUUUUCACAAUUCUAGAAUUAACAGUGGUUCUAAAAAUGCAGAGCUGUUUGUUUUUCAUGUGAAAAGCUCUGGUUGGGUUUUAUUGGUGAUUAAAUUGGGAUGCUUUUAGAUACAACUCUUCUAUCAGUAGUUUUUCAAAUUUAUACUUGUGCCAAUGUCUUAGGACAGUUUUGGCCUGUCAUGUAGAAGAAGAAGUUAUUAUUGAAAAGUUUACUGACUUUAGGUACUAAGUAUAGAAUAGAAUAGACAGAUGGACAAACACACUCCAGCCAAUAACGAUUGGCCACAUCAGCAAAACAAUCAUCCCUUUUGAGCCAUGGCAUUUGUCCUUGUAUAUAUAUGUUAAAGAAAUUGAAGAGAGAAAAAGCUUCUGAAAUUGAAGAGAGAAAAAGUGCAGUUUUCUUUGUGAGGAUGAGGAAGAAGACGAGAAGAAAGAUAAAGUAAAGGGUUAGAGAGAGAGAGUCGGAUGGUUAAUGAAAGGAGUGGAGAAAAGGGAACCCGCUACCAUCACUGAAAAGUUGGGAGCAGGUAACCUUCUCCCAUCAAUCACAUCUGCAUUUGUUUGUUUGAAAAAGAAGGUGGAAGGUUGUAUGUUUCUCUAAUGCUUCUCAAAGAUGACUCCGGAUCAGAGUGAGUGUUUUCCAUGAUUUUCCCCAUCUUUGAGGCUCUUAAUUCUUUUUCUCACCUGCCUUUGCAUUUUUUAUUUGUUUAACUCAUGAUCCCAAUUUCCUUUUUAUCUGUUUAAUUUUGUCUUGUGUUUUUUUCUGUCUGAAACAUAUUUGUUUUUGUACGUCUUUCUGAAACUUUUUUUUAGGGGAAAAGAAGUAGUAAAAAGACUUGUUUGUGUGUUAGGGGGUUAAAAAGUAAAUAAACUUUUGAAGUAAAAUAAAAAUCAUAGGUAAUUUGUUAAAUUGAUUGGUGUAGAACGCGACAAAAUAAACUUCCGAAAUUGAUUGGUGCACUUUUUUAUUUGUAUAUAUUUUUUAUUCUACGAUGAGUGGUCAACUGACGAACUAAUUUUUUAUCUUUGAUUUCUCAAUUUAUUCCAAUUCCAAUUUGCUGAGAGCCUAAUCAUAGCAUUAUUCUGGAUAAGUUCUAUGUGAAGAAUUGUUUAAAUUCACAGCUUGUUUCUUUUCGAUUUUUGUCAAUCUGAUGUCUUUAAAUGAUUUUUUCCCUCGAUUCUGUUGUCUAAUGUAUAAUUUUUUGAUAUUGCAGGUCCAAAAUUUGGAAAUUUUCUUCUGUCCUUUCCAAGAACUACUCCAGAAUAUAGCAGCACGACUCAAUACCGUAUCCAGCCUACUUUGUGUAAAAUUAGUGAGUAGUUUGAUUGUACCUUCUUCUGUUCAUGUGUAUUUUAUUGCAGUUUGUACUCUAAAUGUUAUACCCCUUUUCCUUUGCUCUUUGCAGAAGAGGUUACAUAGGACUUUAUCACUUGUUGCUUUUCCAUUAUUACAGGUUUUUUGCUUUCCUUUUUACCAUAAUUUCAAUUGUUAUUCCUUUAGUUGUUCAUUUGUGGUGACUAAAGUUAAGAGUUUCAGUGAGGAGAGUGCUACUUGUUUUCCUGAAAUUAUGGAAUUUGAAAAAAAUUUAAUAUUUUUACGUACUGUAUUUAUAGUCUAUAGUCAUCGAGACAAAUCGUAUUUACUCAUUAGUGGUAUUGGUAUCUUAUUGAUUUUCAAUAUGAGUGAAUAUAGUGUAGUUUGAUGAUUUCUUGACAAUGAAUACUGAAUUUUUUUCAGCUCCUGUUCAAUUGUUUGAGCUCCUAUUUUGUUCCCUUUAUGUUUCAGUUAGUUCUGAAAUGAUCAACCCUCUUGAUUCUUGAUCUAGCUUUCACUUGUUAAGCUAUUGCGUGAUCCAUUUUUUUUUUUCAACCUUUUUGAUCAUUCUUCCCAUGUGAUGGCUUUUAAAGCACUUACGAGUGACGCAGUUUUUCUCACAGAAAAAAAAACGGAUAUGACUAAGUUGUGCAUGUUAGCAAUUCUACCCCGCAUUGUCAUGUAGUUGUUUGAUCAAAUGUAUUCAAGGGAUCCACAUGUUAUUAACCUUCAUAACUGAUAUGUAAAAGUUAGUACUAGAAAUUUGGAAUUUAUACUCCUUUAUUUCCUUACUAAACAAUUAAUAAUAGUAAGUUUUCUAGCAUGUAUCAUAUAACUUGUGCUUGGUGGGUUUUCUUGCUGAGUUGUAUUGCUGUGACUGUUUAAUUCUAAAUAUGUUAUCAAGUUAGACAAAAAACGUAGAAUGGAACUUAAUUGGCCAAUAGAGUGAGAUGAAUCUUAACAUAGAAAAGAACAUGCAUAUAAGGCAUGUUGAUGAUUGCAAAUUGAUAGAGCAACUUUGUAUCUUCAACUAGAUGUCACCAAAGGUACAUUUAAUUUGGUAAUAUAACACUGUAUUUUCCUAGCAUUUGUCUGGUUUGUAAGACUUAUUUUGGCUUUCUUGGUUCUCAUUGUAGGAUCCAAGUAACUAACUCUACAUCAAUUCUUUGGAAGUUGAUGCUAAGGUAUAAUUUGUUUAUUACCUUUCAUUUACCAAUCACCAAAUCGCUUGAGACAUUGGACCUUUCCAAUCAGUCAAUGUAAACAUGGCAGGUCUUGGGGUCUUUGAGUUAUUCGCUUUUUCUUAUUUUAAAUGGCUUUAUUCCAUAUUGGUGUAAAACCUUUCUGGUAGUGAAAAUAUAUGAAAUUAUAAGGUUGCUUGCACAAAAGACAAAAAGUUUUGGGAAUGAAUAUUGAUUUAUUUCAAGGAAGGCAGCUUGUCAAAAUUUUAUGCCUCUACUCAUCUUCAAAGAAAUGGUUGGCCUUGCUUUAGCUGAAAAAGAGAUUGUCCGUUAUAAUUUUGUUGCAAGAUCACAAACUAAAAUAUUCUUCAAAAAAGAUGUUUUUAUAGUGAUGUUGGAUUGCAUAAGCCCUUGCAAAAAAUGGAAAAGUUAAGAAGGUUAUUUUAAAGAUGAUGUUACUAUUAUUUGGGACAUUUGAGAGGAUUGGUCAUCCUUUGAGAGAAAUUUUAUUGCUAUGUUCUGGUCUUUAGCAACAUUUUUCUCUCUGUACUAUGAAAACACUUCCAUCUCAUUCACUUAUAUUUUCAUGGAAGAUUGAUGUCAUUCUUGACCUUUUGAGGACAGAAAAGGAUGAAAGAUGUUUAAUCAUGUCUUUCUAUAUAAGAAAGGUUUAUUCUUCUAAUUACCAUGUUUCUUUUUAUUAUUAUUUGAUGGUGAUGUAUUUUUUCAAAUGAAAUCCACUUUUCUCCCCUAUUGUGUACUUGACUCGGCAAAAAAAAAAAAAAAGAAAUCAAAUUCUGAUUUAAUUUGCACUAUAUGCCAUGCAAAGCUUCUUUGCUUGCUAUCCUUACAGUCAGAAACAAUAUUGCAUGUCACAGAAGAGCUAUUUCUAUUCCCAAGGAGGUUGCUAUGUCUGCUGUGCAUUUUAUUUUUCAUUUUUCUACUAUGAACAGAAACAAGUUAUAUGUUUCAAACUGAUUUUGGCUUUUCAUACUUGAUUUAUGUUUUCCAAAAGUCGGUAGUAAUUAUCAUAUUUAUGUUAUAUACAACACAAUUAUGGGUAUAAUUAUAAUUAACUUUCAACUAAUUAUCUUAUGAAUGCUUAGAUACACUUAUUCAUACAGCACCCCAACGGAAAAGGAAAAAAAAAGGCUUUGUGCAAGAUAUUUUAUUUCACUGUCUCAUAGGUCUUGUUUAUUAAUUUUUUAAAAAGUGCCCCCUCUAAGGUCAUCUUAAAAACUGUCUCAAUGGUUCUUAUUCUUGGAACCUUGAACCCUGAUUUUAAAAGGGUUGUUGAUGAUGAUUGAUCAUAUAUAUAACUAGAUGAUUUUUUUUUAUUUUAACAAACUUUCAUGAUGACGAAGCAAAACGAAAAACAUAGGCGUUCUGUGUAUCCCUAACCAUCAAUGUUCAUGUAUGAACCAUAUUGUAGCUUUAAUUGAAACUAUAAGUUCUAUGCUAAAUGCAAUAGCUAUGGCUAAAGAACUCUAUUUUAACCAUAAUGGUUCAGCGUUGGAGAAGCUUCUGGUUUACAUCUAUUACUUAUUUCUUGUAUAAUAUUUUUAAGUGGUGAAUGAUUAGUAAAGUUUUCUUGUUAAUUGUGCAGGCAUGUGUAGACUUCGUGGCAAAAGUAGUUGGAGUAACUUCGGGACCAAAAGGAAGAAUUUUGGUGUUGCACAUUAAAUUGCAUCCCAAGAUUGUUAAAGAUACUGAAAGUGUUUUAAACAGGUAACAAGUCUUACAUGGUAUAUCAGUGUAUUUGAUAUGUGCAAGCAAUAUUAGUGCUGAAAUUGUUAACAAGUUUAUUGUUUUUUUACUAAGAAACAAUCAUAGCGUUUGCAUCAGUUCAAGCAAUCUACUUAUUUCACUUUGAGGUGACCUUAUGGUAGAUUCCACAACAUGAUGUCUUAAAAAUUUUCUUCUUCUUAUAUUUGGCUAUGUCAGUUAUUCUCAUACUUUUAAUGGAAGAAGGUGCUAUUUGCUUCUUGUUUUCUUCUAAAUCUUUUAGAUUUAUUUACUAUCAUUAAGUAUACUACAUUUGGAAAGCCAUCAAAUAAUGAUUAAGAGAAGGGGGAAUAAUGGAUAAAAAAUGCUCCAGGUAUUAGAAAUAAUUUUGAUAAAUAAUUUGGAGCUUUUUAAUGAAGAUUUGAGCCUAAAGUCCAACAUCUGUAUCUGUACUUUCUGUCAUUCUACAUUAGAGUGCAUAUUUUCGUAUGUGGUGUAGUUUUUUGGGGCUUAAGAGAGCCUGCUAAUUUGCAAUCUAUCAUCUCAAAGAAAAGCAAAAUGUUUAUAGGAAUAUUAUCUUAUUCUUAGUUUAGUUAUUAUUUGCACUUCAUGUAAUUUACUUGCGCAGAACAGAUUGAUUGGAGGAUGCUUUGGAGUAUGUAGGAGUUAAAUUAGUGAGGCAGGACGGUGCAAAUGUUGCUGAAUUUGUUCUCAUCUUAGCUCCAAUUUAUUUUUGUCUGAUCUCUAAUUUGACCUAUUUUUUAUUGUUGUCUACAUUGCUCUCUUUAAUUAAAGUUAUCAAAGUUAAAGGUGACUUUGCUACCGCUAUCAAUUGCUUUUGAAAUUGCCAUUAUUGUGUCAAAGCAAUUUAAAAUGUUCCAUUUUCACUUUUCAUUGUGUUUUUUUUCCAGGAUGAAACAUAUUCAGCUUUCAUAUGGGAUUUGAUAAAACUACCAAAACAUGAUGCAUGUAGAGAUGGAAGACUACGUAGAUGAGAUUCUGGUUCGCGCGAGUCAAUAGGAACGGGGGAGCGAAGCAGCUCGACUGAAAGGAGAGGAGCGAAAAGAGGAAGGUGCCUGACUUAACGUUGAAUGGUAUUAGCUUGACUGAAUAAAGAGAUAUGUGGAUCACGCAAUGCAAGAAAGAACUCUCUUCUAUGUCGCUUCACUUCAACAGUCUAUUUCUUGCCAGAUGGUGUAGGUAACGUAGCCAGCUUGUAGAGGCAUAAUGCUUGUUUCAGAACUCAAAUUGGCAUCAGGGAGGUAAUUUGCCAUCUUUGUACUAUUGCAAGAAGAAAAAUCAUUUUAAGUUUUAAAUUUCUGAUGAUUGUAGGUUUGCCGCUCAUGAUUUUGCAAAUAUUGCUAUUGUUAGUACAGGAAAUGAUUAUGCAGUAGGAAACAGGACUUCUGACUUUUUUCAAAAGUAGGAAGAGAAUUAAGAAGAAGUGAGACAUGGAGCUAUGGUAAAAAUAUCCUGCACAUUGUAGAGGGGAUGGAAUUUGAUCGCGGAUAUUUUUCUCCUUAACAUGAUUGGAGUUUUGGAUCUCAUAUUUCUAUCUGUUGGUGUAUGGUAUUUAAGAGGGGAAACUUUUGUAUUCGCAAUUGCUUUUGGUUGCCUAAAACAUCGCAUGGUUCAAGGAUAUUUUGAAACGAUACUACGAAGUCUCCAAUCGUGAUAGUUGCAUACAACAUUGAAGAGGAAGAUCAGGCUCCGUCGUUAAUAGGUAGUUGCUAUUAGAGGCCUUGCCUUCACUGAGUGCUACUGUCUCUUGAUAGGAAAUAAUGAGACAAGAAUGCUUGAAUAUGGAAUUUAUCACAUUCUUUCAUUUCGAAGGCAUUUUUUUUAUUGCAAUUUCAAUUAGUUAAAUCUACCAAAGGGCAGAUUAUGGGGGAAAAAAGAUAGAUUACAAUCUUGAAUUUCCAUUCUAGCACCAAUUCUUCUUGGAUUUCGAAUUGUAUUUCCAGUUUAAGAAUUUGUCUUCUUUAAUCGUAGUUAUCUAAUUCCAAAAUGCUGUACAUUAUAUCACUUAUAAAAAUUUUCCUAAUAUAUAAACAAUCAAGAUAAAUGUAAUAAGUUAUAGAACAUUGUUAUUGAUAUUGAAGUAGGCAUGUAUCUGCUACCUGCUUUAAUAUCAUAUUAUUUAGCUUUCUCUUAGUGUUUUCCUUCUUUUAUUUUGUACUAGAAUAAGCUCAUUCGAUGGGGCAUGGCAAUCUCACAUAACCUCACCGCGCGUCGCGCGGUGUUUACCCUCCUAGUAAUGAACGACAUGAGAAGUGAACUGUAACAGAAUAUGACUAAAGUUUUAAAGUUUUCCUUUUUUCACAAGGACAUAGAAGUGGAACUCCAACACAACUUUACCUAGCUUUCCGUAUCCGAAUCGAAAUAGGACUAUAGGAAUUAGGAGGAGGGCUGCUCUACGCGGAUUUCACUAUAGUCUAUGUAUGAUACGUAUGUCCUGCACUCCCUUAUGGGGCUUUUUCUUUCAUUCAUUCAGCAUCGUUGCCGUUUCUUAGUUAGAUUUUCAAAUUACUGUCAACCUUUUCCCCAGAGGGUUCUCCUUCUGAUCAAUCCUUCUUCUCUAGUUCUUUAAUUACUAGGGUUUUCUUUUGUUUAAUUUCACGCAUUAAUUAGUUGGUGUGAUAUAUAUUGAGUUCACUAAUGCAUGGCUACCUUAAAGAGGCCCCGAUCGUCUGAAAGUUGGGAGCAUCAUUAUAAUUCAAGCUGUUACGGCACUAAUUUCUUUCAUGAAAGAAAAGGUCAUAACUCUCCUGUUAGCAUGAAUCCAUACACAAUGAGAAAUUAUUGGGUUCCAGCAGAACCAUCGGAUAACAGGCAAUGGGCUCCAAUGGAAGCAUCCGAUUACAGGCGCUUUGCUCCCACAGUGUUAGCAGUAGCAGUAAAAGAUAUCUUGCCCGUUGAGCUUAACCCUUGGCAACGGGUUUCGACGGGAGCAUCCGACUUCCGGCGAUCGAUUCCAACAGCUGCAUCAGAUUUCUUGCCCGUUGAGCUUAAUUCUAAGAAGAGCACUGCUACUCCGUCAGUAGGUCUGAAGAUGGUUGCGGGGUCCGCUUAUCUGCCCAAAGAUAACCCUGAAAAGCCCGAAGGCGACGAUGCUCACUUCGUAAGCUUAGAGGCGCAGACAAUUGGAGUCGCGGAUGGUGUUGGUGGCUGGUGCAAGCAAGGUAUAGACGCAGGAAAAUACGCAAGGGAUCUCAUGAAGAAUUCGAGGGUUGCUGCCGAAUCUGAGCCUAAUGGAGCAGUGAAUCCGAAGAGGGUUAUGCAAGAAGCCUAUUCCAAUACUAAGGCUCCAGGAUCAUCCACCGCCUGCAUCAUUACACUUUCGGGUAACGCAUUGCGGGCCGCGAACGUCGGUGACAGUGGUUUUAUAGUCGUACGAGAUGGGAAAGUCGUGUAUCAGUCACCCGUGCAGCAACAUCACUUCAACUGUCCGUAUCAGUUAGGAAAUUCCAAGGAUGAUCCCCGCUUGGCACAGGAAUUACAAAUUGAGGUUCAAAAAGGCGACAUUGUUGUUGCUGGGACUGAUGGUGUUUUUGAUAAUCUGCAUGGAUUUGAGAUCGAAGAAGUUAUCAAGUCAAGCAGCAAUAAAGGCGACAAACCAGACUACAUGGCUUGUACUAUAGCAAAUCUUGCACUCUAUAAUUCGUUUGAUAGGUAUGCUGCAGAUACACCCUUUGCAAGAAAAUCAAGAGAAGCAGGCCACAGUCACCACAAAGGAGGAAAAGUUGACGAUAUUACUGUAAUAGUUGCUUGGAUCCAAUGAUCAGAUUAAGUACUAGGAUCAAUUUGUAAAUCUUAUAGACGAGCUAGCUAGUUAAUUCGGUUCUAACGAUAUGUACAACUACUACAACCAAAACAUUUGAAUGUAUUUGUACACCUACUAGAAGCAACACCUUCGAAUGUAUUCGUGUUUGCUCAAUCAAUGCAAUUGUUUUUUUUUUUUUUUUAAUCAAUCCCAGGAAGGCCUUAUUACCAAUCACUCCACAUAAAUUGUUAAUCCAAAAAGCUGUUUAUCUACUUUAACUCGAUUGAUUACUCAGCAUUUUGGCACUAGCUACGUGAUUUGGAUACGUAGCCAUGCAGUCCACAAAAUAAAUGACUAUAUGUUUAUCAUGCAGUUUGUUUACUUUCUCUUCAGAUGCUUUAAUUUAGUUUUAUCAAUUUACCAAAAAAAUUAAUACUAAUAACAAACCAAUUCACUCCUUCAUGCUUAUUCAAUUUUCCAUUUCCGACUGAAAUAGGUUGAAUAGAAGCAUCUCAAUUAGCGACUAUUCGCUAGCUAUUUGAUUUGAAACUGCUUUCUCAGGCACAUAUUACCUAAGAAAUCCAAGAUUUGUAUGUUACUUGGUUACAAAUUUUUCACCUCUGACUGAAUGGAAAGCAGGAGAGGAUAUCCAUGGUACAGUAUAUAGUAAAUUAGGCUCCAAUAUAUCAAUCAAUACGUCCAAAUCCCGCUGGAGAAGUGCCGCUUAUACCUUCUUCACAUUCAGAUCAACUCCAUGUUCAGGCUCUAUAACCAGGUUUAAAGUCGGGGAAUGAAUAUAAGUAGGGGAGAGGGUAAAACUGAAAUUUGACAAAAUGAGAGACAACAAAAUCUUGAGUUCCGCCGAUGCCAAGUGCUGUCCAAGGCACACCCUUGGGCCAACUCCAAAUGGCAUAUAUAAGUGCGGAAGCUUGCAAGCCCCAUUUGCAAACCUGUCUGGAUUGAACUGGUAGGAAUCUGCUCCCCAGACUUCAGGAUCUGUGUGUAAAGUCAAGACGAGUGCCCAAAUAUUCACGCCUUUUGGCACGUGAACGCCCCCAAAUUUCAUUUCCUCGAAAACCUCUAUAGACAUGAUCGCAACUGGAGGAUAGAGGCGUAAGGACUCAUUAAUCGCCACACUUAGCUGCGACAAUUAGUACCGCUCAGCAAAAUAACCAGUAUACUUCAUUUAAUUUCAAGCAACUAAAAACCAAGAAAGCAGGACUAAUAAUAUGAGUAUUUUCUUGUGUACCAGCUUCAUUUUCCUAAUCGUGUCGUUGUCAGGAGCUUGGCCAUCACAAACGCCAAGGACCUCACCACGAACGCGUUCUUGCCAUUCUGGAUUAGCUGCUAACAGCAUCAAACAACAUGUGGCUGCCAGGGCAGUGGUUUCAAAGCCAGCCAAGUAUAUGUUUUUGCAGUUGUCGACUAUGAAGCUGUCGGUUGCAUCUGGGCACUGUUCACUGCUCCUUCCAGAGAACCGUUUGCAGCAGGUCCUUCUCGUAACCACUUCAUUCCUUUCCUUCACAACUUUCAAAAUCAAUGUUCUCAAAUCCUUCUCCGGUGCCCAUGCUUCCCUGUUGCUCUUUGUGGGAAGGCACCUGUUAAUUUAGCUACCUUAAAUUCACUCUCCUUUUUAUUUUUUGUUCUACACUGACAGAGAGCGCUUCAAAAGAUUGACAGCUAAACAGAAGCAGCAACUAAUGAAACCAUUUAUAUCGAGGAAUUCUUUGCCAUUUGCGUAUGCACUAAAAAUCAAAAGCAAAAACCAACAUAAUUGGAGCUAAAUUAGGAGGAUCACGUUUGGCAAAUUAAACUAAAUAUGUAAACAGGGUGGUAAAUUAUAACUUUCAUCUGAACGUGGGCUGUGUGCAUGAAUAGAUUAUCUGCUCAAGCACGCAUUUUAUCUGAAUAACCUCAAAGACGACGCCUUUGGGCCGGCUUCUCGUGAUUCAGUUGGAAACCCAAAUAGAAUUCAGAACGUUUGUUUGUCGAACAUUCAUGAAUAAAUUAAUUCUUUGUUUGGAGAGGGCAUAGAAGAAAGUAUACUUCAUGAAUGGAAUGCCAAAGCUGAAACCCUUCUUGGAAGCACAUUCCAGAAGAGCUCUGAGUUUGACGAAGAUCUCUCCUCCUUUUGAAUAAUCGCUCCCGAAGCAUGCUUUCGAUAUUACAUCGCCUGAGAAGCUCCUCAUAUGCUGGUCAAUCUUUAUAUCAGCUGCACCACCUUUGGCCUCAAUCAUGUUGUUCCACACGUCUAUUAAAGUCAUGGCAGACUCUCGAAUCAGCUUUAUCAUUCCCUACAAGGGUUUAAACUUACAAGGUCAGAUAAAAAUGCAAGAAGUAGACAGUCGAAUAGAACAAGUACUUUUAAUCGCCACCAUGUUUGGUUGGGUCACAUGUAAUAUUGGAAUGACUCCAAUAGAAAACACAAAGACAUGACCUGCAGUAUGCGGAUUAAUACAACGUAACGUCUAUAUGCUGCUAUCAAACCAAACGUCACAGCCAACUCUAACAACUGAACUUAUAAAAAUGAGAAAUUGGAGAAUGACAGUGUUCAACCAUACGUCCUCUGUUGGCCGGAAAAACAAUGGGAAUGCUCAAUUAUAUAUAGUAGAUAUUAGUCAAUAGGUUGUCUCAAACUCUACUAACUCCAUGUUAAACUAGUAGUUUUAUUUAUUUUUCUAGAGAAGGGUUAAGAACUUAAUGAUCCUUUUUUAUUACACUUAGAAUUGCAUAGGUUUUCUUGAGGGUGGUCAAGGUACUUUCAUCACUUUAAUCUUUGAUGAUUCUCUCCUCUCAUGUUUUACGAUUAAUUCCUUACUUAAAGUCUGUAAACUCGGCCUACUGAUAGACCACCAUUCCACAGGUAAUGUACACGGGUUCAUAUCAGGACAAAAUUAAUUAAUCAGCUCAAAAACGCUUUAACGUCAAACUACUGACACAAAUUAACCGCAGAUACUACCAAAGAGUCGAUCGAAACAUGUAAAAACGCCUCCGGCCCACGUUUAGCAUCAAAGCAAACUGUCCAAGGCAUUACCACCACCUUCCCUACCCUAUUCAGCUACGAUGGAUUGAAGUUUCCUGAUGAUUCCCACCUCCACCGGAUACGCUAGAACUGGGAUAUUCUAAUAGUAGGACUGCUAGUAUAUAUAUAUAUAUAUAUAUAUAUAUAUAUAUGAAAACUACUUGUAUACUGAUGAGUUGUUGAAAAGCUGAAUGCCGUGAUGAAAUCAAGGAAAGGAAAUAUUGGGACUUAAUGCAUUAGUAGUAUUUGCUUAAAUUUACCAUAUUUGUUGAGCAUCAGCACAGUUGUGGUGGGUUGGGGCACCAGUAGGAGUGGGAGGAGGCUUGGCGGUUCGAGCCUUCUUGAUCUCCAGUACGGUUCCAAGCAAAAGAGUGGGCGGUGGUCCGCCUAUCCCUUGUUUCCGCAGGGCCGACCUAACCCUCUCUGUAUUGUCCACUAGUUCUCUAUAUAGACGGAAAGCCAAGCCCAGGAUGCCAACCAAAAUAAUGGACACCACCGCUUUCACUAAAAUUUGAACUUCCAUAUCUAAUUUCACUUGACACUACGUGUUUGGAUUAGGAAGAUUUGAAAUGAAAAAAUUUACUUCACAAAUUUCAAUCACCUUUUUAUCUCACAUAUAUCACAUCACAAAAAAAUACUACAGUAAUUAUCUCAAAUAAAUCAUUCAAAUAAACUCCUAUCCAAACAAACUUGCAAAUGGAGACUUGUAAGUACGUAUAAUGUUUUUCCUGUCUAGACUUGUAUUAUAUGCUACUCCAAUGUUUUUCCUUCUUUUUAUUUUUUUUCCUUUUGUACUUUUUUCUUGGCCUCUCAUGCCCCUCUUUGUCUUUUUAUUUUUUUAAGCCCCGAAAAGAAGAAGAAGAAGAAGAAAAGAAUGGGACUUUGCCCAUAAAAUCCGAUAAUCCUGAAUGCAGUCGUCAGUCGUUGAUACCUUAACAAGUAGUAGCAGUAUUAAUUGAUUGGGCGUCCUGGCAAGGAAAGUAAUUAACGACAGCAAGAUUGUAGCCUAUACGGACCACCGGCUGACUAAGCCUACCGUGGGAAGUACGGGCAGAAAUCGACAUGCGUUAUGUUAACAUGGACUGGAAUAAUUUUUAUCUUUGAUGGUUUUUUAAAUGUUAUUAUGCAAAACACACUAUUGAAAUGGUGGAUGUAAUUAGAUGGUGUUAAGAAUUAAUUUAGAAAUAAGAAAGCUAAACAGAUUACAAUUACUUUACUAGUGGUAAAAUUACAAAUAAGUUUCCAAUAAAAGAUUAUCCAAGUCUUAAAUUUGGUAAAUGUAAAUAAUGGUGUUACGGUAUCAUACAAGAAAAAAAGUGUAUACUUUACUGGUUCCAAUUCGCUAAAUGCGUGAUUGAGCAUUUUACAUCAUUGAUAUGGAUAGAUUAAUGCAAAUAAGAAAGAGAGAGGAAGAAUUAAAAUAAAUAACCACGACAUGAACUAUGAUAGCAAUAUAACAUAAUUGCAUUUAUGGUAUUGCAAUUUUUUGGGUUAUUUGAUUUUGCUUUUGAGUCCCACAAAGCCAGGCACGUUGUGCAUAUAAGAAGGAAGGGAAGUUUAGCGUGCGCAUGAUAAAACUAGAAUUUGAAAAUUGAAAUUUAAAAUGUAAAAUUUAAAUUCAUUAAAUUGUUGAAAUGUUCAGUACUAAAUUUGAUAUAUUUAAAUGUAUAUUGCAUUAAGUGAUAGUGCAUUGUUUAUCAUUUAUUUUUUAGAGCAAAUUUUAUUUAAAAAAUUCAAUAUCAUUUAAUGAAUUUAUACACUCUAUUUUUUUUUUGUUAUUAAACACUUUUGAAUAUAUUAACAUCUGAAUCCAUUAAAUUUGAUUAUUGAUUUGAAUUAUCAAACAAGACUUUAAUUUUUCACCUCCCUUUUUGCCACGUGCCUUCCUAAUAGUUUGACAAGUGACAUAAUUCUAAUAUUCUUUCUUGCACGCGAUCUGUGUUGCCUCUUGCAGAUCAAUUUUUUUUUUUCUUUUUUAGCCCUUUCUUCACGCUAAACCAAGCAAGUUUGGCCCUUAUAUUCUCCUUCUCAGCCCAAUGGGAUUUUUUAACCUUAAUUAUUUGAUUAAGUGGAUGUGCUAUCUAAUUCACCAUCAUUAAAUUAGUCUUAUUACACUAAUACUACAUUACAGCCCUUGGAUCAAUUUUCAUUCAGUUGUAAUUGUAAUUCAACAAUGCAAAUAGGAGCUGAUUGAUGGGACCUUAGCUUCGCCGCCUUAUUCAGCCAUUGUACCGGUUCCUCCACCAACUUGACUGCCCCGGCAUCAUCUAGAGCUUUAUGGCUUCUUUUCUUCUCCACCAAUGCCCAUACUGCAGUAAAGGAAUCAUCGCUUUCGGAAGCUACCACCCCCAUUCCUACACUUCUAAGAACAUAAUAAUAAUCUUUCUCUGUUGUCAUUACUAAUCUUUCUUUGUUUUCCUUUGCCAUCCAUUUUGCUUGCCUUUCUGCAAUAUUUCCAACCGUACCAACUAUCACAUUCAUUGCGUACAGUCCAGGCUCUGUUCACUAUAUUGGUAAAGCACAUUCCCUCUUCAUUUAGCUGAUCUCGAUUUCUAUCCUUUCACAGGGCAUAUAGGAUAUCUGCUAUCAACGUUGUAUGGUCAAUUCCUUCCUUUCUGUAUUUAGCCCGCAUCACCACUUCCCACGAUUUUCAGAAAUUUCCUUUGCAAUAUUGUAUCCUUUUCUUGACAGCAUCUCCUUUUCUUUUCCACUGCCCUGGGUUUUUUCCCCCUUUUGUGUGUGUGUGUGUGUGUGGGGGGGGGGGGGGGGGGGGGGGGGAUGGGUGGGUUGGGAUUGUUGAGCGGAUAACGUGGAGUUGAGAGAUAAUAAGUCAGCUUGGAACACGAAAAUGGGAGAAACAACUCCUCAAUCAGGUUUAACAAUAAAUAUUUUGAACAGAAAUGAUUCACGUCACCAAGCAGCAGACGCUAAAUACCAUGACUGAUAUUGGCUAUGAACAGGCAAACACAACUGCGUAACCAACUGCAUCUGCAGCAAACCUCACAACAUUAAGCUUAUUUGCAAGAAAACAAAAACAGACAUUCCUCUUCCACGAUUAAUCACUUCAAUAUCUGUGUGCCAGCUUCUCCUCCUCCUUGUAGUGUUGGGCAUACCUGCAUUUUUAAUCAUUCGGGAAAGUAGGUUUUAGAGUUUCAUUUAAUCUGAUACCAAACAUAUGGCAAUUUUAUAGAACACAUAUCCAUUGCCAAAGUCCAUAAAUCAAUCCACCAAGAAUAAGAUGAAAUUUUUGCAUGGAUCAGUCACAAACAACAAAAAAGCUUAAAUCGUGCUCCCAACAUUCUCAAUGACCGGAGAACAAUUCAUAAGUCAUAACUUACAGCUUCUCAUCUUGUCAUAUACAUCUGAAAAAAUUUCCCAACAGGCAUACAUAGAAAAGAAAGUAGCAUCACCAAUACCCCUAUAACAGGCUCCAUGCCAAAGGCUCAUUUAGCAGGAGGGACAACCAUAGAAAAAUCUGUCUUUGUUAUCUUUGAACAGUGUUAAAUUUUAUCUGACAAAAUGGAUUGGAACAUCAGGAAGGGGGAAAAAAAACUCUUGCACUUUGCCAAUAUAGAAAUUAUUCUUAUGGCACUUAACAUAUGGACGAUAUAUUGUGUGAUUAUCAUGUGGAAACAAGUGGAACAGGGUCAAACUGAAUCACAUAAGAGAGCCACGAAUGCCCCAAUUCCGAGACUUCACAUCCUUGCCUAGACUGUAUUACCCAAUCCUAGUAAGAAGACCCACAUUGAAGAGCACAUGUAAAAUCUGUUAGCUGCAUAUCCCCAUACACCAAAAAGCAACUUCUGAUAUCAUAUGUGCAAUCAGUACCACACAAAAGCCAAAUCUGUAAAAGCAUCCACAACCUUACAUUCUGUCAUUAAAAUCACAAAUUGUUGAAGCCCCAAUGGGAAGAAGGAUUAUUUACUUCCCUUAAUGUAUCAGAGUUGCUCCAAUCAAAGGAAGGUUGUCUAUUAGAAAAUUUGAUUCACAUUCUACAGAUGGAAUACAAUCUGAAAGCAGGCAAAUAUAAUUAUUCUCUUCCUACUGAUACUUAUCUUUAUCUUUAUGAUUCAACAGUUAAAAUUCAAUUAUCAAAUAAACUCAUGAAAGAACAACAUUUUAACACCCCAAUUUUUUAUUUUUUGGGGUCAUACAUGGAAUUGGUAAUAACACAAAAGGAGCACUUAGGCCCCCCCCAACCCCCAGUAGACCCCUCAGAUUCUCACAUCAUCAAUCAUAUGGAUGAUUCUUCUCACAUUGCAGGUACAUUGUUAAAAAAUUAAAGCAAAUGCUUCAAAAUCCAAACCAUAUAAAACCUUAACUGAUCUAAGAUACUCUCUCUAGAUUAUCCACUGAUAAAAAAAAAGUGAACUGAACUCUUAUCCCCACCAAACUCAUUAAAAGCUUGUGUGGAAUAUGCAUCUAAAACUAUAGUAAGCAAACAAAAAAAGCACUCAUGGAUUUGCAAGAAUGUCGGAGCCACUCAACUUUGCAGAAAUUAAAGAACAUGAAUAAGAGCUUUAGUAACAGUUUAAGGUUUUCUAACAACUACUCUCGUUCCCCAAAAUUUGGAUAAUAGCCUUCUCCCUUGACAUUGCUCCCUACAGUUGGAAAAAUGCCCAUCUCCCCUCCCAUUGCCCCCUAAACAAUUAACUUCUUUCAGUAAAAUCGUUAGGUGCUAUUAAAACACAACAUUGAUACAUGAAUAAGAAAUAACUUUAGAUCUUGGUGCAAACUUCUCUCUACAAAAUAAUGACAUCAAUUUAGUAGUACACUACACCAUCCACUGGCACUAGGUCUUGGCUCAGCCACUAAGUGGCAAUAGCUUAUGUGAAAUCCAGGACUCAUACCACAUUAUAGUCCUAUUCCUAUACCAACAACAGAUUUGUGUCCCAGCAAUUCCUUCAGAAAGAGCAAUAAUAUAGCAAACAAAUUCGAAAAAAGAGAGUAAUGUAGCAAUACUCAUUAAACAUCACAAAGCGUAAUGCUUUCAGUACUACUUGUGCACUAAUCGGGUCAGAAGUCCAAUAUGCAAGACGAAGGCUUAAGCCAAUACAUAGAAAUGCGCAGUAUCACCGAGCAAAAGGUUCAGCCCAGUCAAAAUCAUCAUACACAGCAACAAAUAAUACACAAGUGACAAGGCCCAUCGUUGCGCUUCCCUAUUUCAUUAACUACGACAAAACACACUAGCUAUUUAGCCAAUCAAGGAAGCAAGCACAAAGAAACUCUGACCCCCAAUCAUUUCCAAGACCACAAUUUUAUAUCAAAAUAUAAAGUAUAAGAACCGAAAUCAAGGAGAAUAGAACCAACCUAUAUCUACUGAAAGAUUGAGAAUAAACUAAUAACAAACAUGGAUUUGUGUAUAGAAAAAGUACGCUUACGAGUAGGUGCCAAUGACAGGGCCGAGUAAGAGGGUGGCGCUGAUCCAGUUUUCGGAGACCUUGUGGUGGAUCUUGGUGGUGAUGUCCUUCCAGAGGCCAGGCAUAAUCUUCUGCUGAAACGGCGAGAGCGCGUACACCACCGCCUUCAGCUUCACCGGCUGUUUCCCCAUCUUUUUCUUUGGCUUUUCCAAUUCAGUUAUCCAAUCCUAUUCUAGGGUUUCGAAUGCACUAAUUAAUUGGGAAUCACGAAUUUGGUGGGUGUUUUUUGCUUCCUAUUCUAGGCAGAGAUUAUCUAGGGUGGACUUUGAAAUUUUCUCGCCUGUUUUGGAUUACUGGGCUGGGCUUUUGUCCAUCGUCUAUUGCCUUUUUAUGAGCCCAUUUACUUUAAGUGACACUUUACUUUUCUUAUUUUUGUGGGGCUUAAGAUAAGAAUCAAUUUGUUCACCAAAAUGCAACCGUUGCUUGGCAAAUAAGAGCCCAGAGACUGUUAAGGCGCCGUUUGGAUUGAGAGAACCACUGGGGCUAAAUAAAAAAAAAAGGAAUUGAAGGAACAUGAUUUGUUUUCGGGUUAAUAUCAUAAACCUCCCUUGAGGUUUCUUCUAAUCACACCUAGCACCCCUCAUGUUUUCAAAAUCACACUUGGGAUCCCUAGAAUGACAACUUUGGUAUCAUUGUCAACCCCUCAUUAUUUUUGUUCCACUUUUACCCUCCUUGUGAACUCUAUUAGUCUAUUUAUGUAGAGUUAAUUUCGGAAACCUCCCUUGAGGUUUUCCCUAAAUUAUGUAAAACUAUUCUGUAAUUAUUAAUAUUUGUUAUACAAAGUGUAACUCUAAUUGAACUAUUUGUAAAACUUAUCAACACAAAUACAAUUAUUACAUAUUGGACCCAUAUGUACACUAACAAUUUAUCACAUUUCUAUAGUAACGAUGUACAAGAAGUUUACAUAAAAUUACAAAAUGUUCAAAAAAUGUCACACUAUUUAGGGAUGGUUGAUCUAACAACUGUUCCUAUCCCACUCCCUAAUAUUAAAUAGUCAUGGAGUUUCCAGUGAUGUUAACUUUUUGCAUUUCCUAAGUGAAUAAUAACACAAUCUAAAAGUAAUUCAAGGAUGAUGGGAAUUUAUGAGUAUAUAGCAUUAGCAAGCCAUUUUUAUUUGACAAUAGGGUAUCGCAAUAUUAAUAACUUACAAACUCCAUUCAACUAGGAUGCACAAAAAGCUAUUUAUACUACCUCAUUUUCACAAAAAUGGAAGAGUAAGUUUAUUUACAACUACAACCACAUAUUGAAACUAUUGUCGCCAUUAUGAGAAUCCAUAUUCACAUUUUUUUUAUCUCCGUUCAGAUCAAUGUAACAUUUUUUAAACAAUGCGUAACUCUAUGUGAAUUAUUUGUAAAACUUAAUAACAGAAACACAAUCUAUUAUAAAGAUGUAUAAGAAGCUUGCAUAAAAUUACAAAAUGUUCAAAACAUGUUACACUGUUUAGACACGAUUUUGUAGUGUUACCAAAGUUGGUGGGAUGUGAGUUACAUAAAUAGAGUUCACAAGGAGGGUAAAAGUGGAACAAAAAUAAUGAGGGAUUGACAAUGAUACCAAAGUUGUCAUUCCAGGGGUGCUAAGUGUGAUUUCGAAAACAUGAAAGGUGCUAGGUGUGAUUAGAAGAAACCUCAAGGGAGGUUUCUGAUAUUAACCCUUUUUUUUUUCUUGUUUAGAUUGAUUUUUGACGAGGGAAGAAAAGGAAAGAAAAUCAUCUAGUUAUUUUGUAGAUACUUGAUUUUUCAUCCAAAAGUGAACAGAAAUGGAAGGACAGAGAACAAAUUUUAAAAGGAAUAAUUUAAUUGUUCUUAAAAGUCAUUUUUAUGCACAUCCUUUUGCGUUAACUAACACUUGAUCUUUCCUUUUCUUUUUUAAUCCAAAUAAAAUUUCACCAUUUCCUUCUUUUUCUCCCAUAGUCAAUCUAAACAAAAUGAAUGAAAACUUCUUCUCUCUAUUCUCUUUUUCAUUGUUUUCCUUUCCUUUAAUCUAAAAGAUGCAUCUUUCUGGGGAAAAAAAGUUAUUUGACAUCUGGUUGAAUAGUAGAUGUAUUAGAUGCAUGUCUGGGAAUGGUUUCUAUCAAGGUGUAUAUUUUAAGCGACAAUAAUAGGAAUUUUUUAAUUCUAAGAUAAAUAAUUUUACCUUAAUUAAAGUAGGGUAUUAAUAGAGGAUGCUAGUAUCAAUUUCAUAAUGUAAAUGAGCCUAUAGAAAAUCUUUUGACAUAAUAGUCAACUUAUCCUAAAUAUUAUUUCGCUUACAUCAUAAACACAUUUUUCAACCCAUCUUUUUAUAUUCUCAAUCACCUUUUUAUUUCACAUACAUCACAUCAUAAAAAAUGUUACAAUAAUUAUUUCAAAUAAUAUUCCAAAUAAUAUCCUAUCCAAACACUCCAACUGUUUCGUAAAAUAGUAGUACUAGGCUUGAAAAUCAACCAAGUAUAGAUAUCCAAACUCUUUUUUUUUUUUUUUUUGAAAAAAAGAAAGAAAGAAAGAAAGAAGAAAAGCACACUACCAAUUUAGUAAAUUAUUGUUUACAUUCUUCUAGGUUAGAGUUACGGGAAUCAAUAAUGUUUUAUUACCAGUCUAUCACGUUAGCAGAAUUUGGGUUUAUUAAAGUCUCACACGUGAAAAGAACAAAUAAUGUGCCUGCACAUUUGUUGUCCAAAAUGUCUUGUCUCUCGAGGGAAGCAGAGUUUGUUUUGUAAACUUCCCAAGGACGUUAUCAACGCUGCUAUUGCUGAUCUUUUUUUCUUUUUUCUUUUUUUUCGAUACGGUAGCUUUCUAUAUUAUAUUAUGGGAAAGGAAAGGGUCUGAAGAGAUCCUGAGAUAAUUCGGAGGGAACUGAACCAUCACCGGACCAGACAGGUACACUACACACCCGCUUAAAUUUUUUAAGUAAGAUCACAUUUAAUUUUGAUAAAUUGGUGGGAGGCACCAAGCCUUAAUGCAUAAGUUGAAUGAAAUGCAUGGUUCUUCUUUCCAAAAAUAAUGAAGCCCUGCCUGUUUGAUUUUUCUGGGAGAAAUUCUUACGUCAAAGACUAGUAAAGCCAUUAACAGGCGUAAAUAGGGACAACUGAUUACUUUCUUUGCAUAUCAUCAAGAAGUACAAAUCUUGUGAUGACCAGUCGAAAAUAUCAACUCUGUCAUGAGCUUUGCCAUUAAGUCUGCGUAAUGGACUUGUGAAUCAAAAACCUUACCAUAUAGAUUAUUUGUACCCGUCAAAAGAAAGCCAUGGAAUUCUACACAGCCAUAAAUUGUCCACAAAUAAAAUUCGCCUUUGCACCCCGGAAAGAAUUUUCUACAUAUACAAAUGAGUUAACAACAAAUAAAUUCAAUGCAAUGCUACAAUAAACGUCAGAAGAAAGCCUAAUAUUACAGUCAAGAAAAAAAAAAAAAAGAACAUUUUCUGGUGGCUCCUCCACUUCAGACCUCACAGGCAUAUUGUGAGAGGCCAAGUUUGGGGCUAGACAGACCUGAUGAUCUUCGAUGCAGUAUUUAUUAUCGGCAUUCGAUGUGGAUUGAGGGGUUACAUGCUUCAGGAAAUCUUUGGGAGGACCGUCCAGGAAAUUGUGAAACCAUUACCAACCUGUUUUAGCACGUUUCAUUCCACUGGAACUGAAUGGAGAUAGACUGCCUCUUGGCUGAGGGCUCUCUUCUCUGAAACUGUUGUUCAGCAUGGCUAGUUCUCUGAGCUGUUGCCUCUUGUACAAAUCUUGUGACUCUUCCUGCAAUGCAAAAUGAAAAUAAGGCAAAGGUUACUGACAAUCAAUCAGUAAGUUUGCAUGAGAAGGUACUGUAGACUUUCUAUUGCACACAUGCAUUUGCAAGGGAGAGAAUUAGAUUGCUUCGUCGAUCUGCAGCAAGUAUCAUCCGACAGCCCCAAACUAUAUACCAUUAUGAGCUGAUCUUAGCAUUCUCUGUAUAAUAGUCGGAUGAAACUAGGAUGGCUUUGGGCAGAAUCCAAUUUGAUUUAUUUUUGCGGAAUCACAUGAUUUAAGGAUAACUGAGCAGACAAUUUCAAAUGGCAUACAUCAAACCAGGGAUUCUCAAUGUUGUAAAGGGGAAAAGGUUGGUCCUCGUAGAGUUCUAGUAGUAGUAUCUCGUACCUAUUAUGGAACACAGGUCUAACUUCUUUUAAAGUAAGAAUGAUGGAUGCUUAUCCAAUAGGCAGAGACGAGUAAAUCAUUCAUUCACAAUGGAGUGCUAUAGAUUCCUAUGAAGACAUUUAAUGUUCGAAUAAAUGAUAAUAUAUACUACAAUGUUUUUAAGUGCAAAUGACAUUGAGGUAAAAAAGAUGAAAAAAUUACCACCGGCUUUAGCAAUUCUUCUAUAAUUCCCCUCGCUUGAUUCAUCCGUACAUCAAUGAUAUUGGCAGGUAAUUCAGCCUCAAUCAAAACGUGCAGUGGAUCAUUGAGGUGCUCAUAACCUUGUCUUCCCCGUAAGCUCUCCUCCUUCAAUCAAGGGUAGACAAUAAGCUUAACAGGAAGAAGCAUAUUCAGUAGACUAGCGGGUUCGCCACAAGAAGUGCAGGUAUAGUAUCAGAGGGAGUUUGCCCAAGAUUUUUAGCAAACUUUGAAUGAUGUCCUGAUAGAAACAGGAAAUACAAUCUUAAUCUAUUCUCACAUCUCCACCGCUAAACAUAAUAAUACCUUGUCAGGGUCUUUGAUUGAACCUUUUCCUCUAAUAAAUACGCGGCAUCCUGUGGAAGCUUCCACUCUCUUCAGUGAAUUACCUCGAGGACCUAAUAGCCUGCCAACAAAAUUGAACUAUCUCCACAAAAACGUAAUAAGCCUAAGCACUUGCAGAUGCUUUUAAUGAUAAGAAAUUGUACCUUAAAUAUGUUCUAGAACUGUAAAUUGAUGAAGACUAGACACAAAAUAACUUCAACGAGCUUACGUUUGGAUAUCUGUCAACAGGUAUGUCCAAGCGCAAUACCCUCUUUGCAACAUAUGAACUUGGAUUUCCUCCCGCUGAUUGCCAGUCAAUGGUCAUUUCAUCUGGUCCACCUAACAACUGUUGCAAAGAUGCAUGGAAUUAUUAUCAAUAACUGGGAUGUAAAUGUAAUACAUGGGGAAGAAAAAAGGAAGCCUGAUGGUCCAAAACAAGGUAGCCUUGAAAGGCUAUUCAAACACCAAACGAACUUAAAUUUGUCUGCCAAUUUUCUGAAGGCAUGUAUGUGCUCACCUCAGGGUGAGGGCUGUUUGGAAAGAAUCCUAGACCUUUUGCUCCGACAUUUGGAAUGAUGUCUAGAGAGGCCACAUGACUUGGGCUUCCACGUAGUAGUCUGUCAUAUUCAUCUAUUCUUGGGUCGGAGAUCAUUCCUGAAACCCUCAGUAUCUCUGUCAAAAGAAGUCAAUUUUAGCAAGAAUCCCUCUAUGGCAAAGCAUAUAUGUUUCCAUAAACAGAAACAACUGUGUGGAGACUGUCUCACAAUGUUGCUAUAAAUGACCACAAAAAGUAAUUCAAGAAUCGAAAAUUAGAUUAAAAGUGAUGACUACGCUUGUAGAAAUGGCAAACAGAUGAAGAACUAAAGCAGAUGCGAGACCUUUCAAAAGUAAAAAUCAUUUCCAAAAAACCAGAUUAUUCGUCUUUAUACUAAUUGACAACAGAUAUCAAAUUAGAUUAAAAUCUGUUGGCACAAAAACACACACAUAGUGGAAGCUAUUUUAAACACAAUAAAAAUAUGUGGGAAGGGGAAGAGAAUAAACACACAAACAAAUAUCAAAUUAUUUAUUAACUCAAAACUCAACAAUAAUAAUAUCAAGUCAUAGUCUUUCGCUCACGUAGACUCACAAAUCUCAACUGUGAUGCUUGUCCUCAAACCUACUUUUCACGACUAAAUCUAACAGAAAACUGGUAAGUGCAGUACAGUUCUGAAUUUUGUGAACUUGAAGAAUCCAACGUGUUCCUCUAUCCCAUUUUCUAUGGUGAGAAACUGCUGUUAAAAGUUCUUCUUUGCCUGUUUUUAUCAAUUAAAAUGCGCACGCUGCAGAGAGCUCGCACAUCUGAAUGUCUGUGGUAUUUUUUUCCCCCUAAUAGACUGAGAGGUUAUCAAACACACAGUGUGGCAUAUGGUGAUGCAAUAGGUUAUAUCAUUAUACAGAAGGAAAAGGACAUUUACUUCCUUGUUUCCUAGGGAUUUUUCCAUUAACAAGUUAAAUGGGAACAACAUCGAAUUGGUGAAGCAAUCGAUCAGUGGAAGGCCUAUCAAGCGUUUACGGAAACCCUCUGCAAAAUAGCAGAUGCUAUGAAACUAUAAUGAUCUCAGUAUAGUCUCGAAUCAAAUUUAAUUCGGAACACCUUAUGCUUCAAAAAGGUUAGUUCUUUUGCAUUAAACUGUGUGGAUAGAUAGUACAUGCAAUAAACAGAGCUUUUGAAAUGCAAACAUCUCUGAUAAGCCAAAACAGAAGCAGAAAAAUUUAUAAAACAAUUAUAAAUUGGAUAGGAGAUAUGAACCUUGAUUCAGCAAUCGGGUGCAUAUUGGAAGGACCUGCAUGAAAGGUACAAGCUUCUGUCUUUCUGCUAACAGCUCUGUCAAGUAUUGACUACAGGAACAUAAAGAACACCAUCAACAACAAAUAUACUUAACAAAUUAAAAUAGUUGAUUAAACAAACCAAAGCUAACAUAAAUUUCAUGGUUAGAAAGUAUUCAGAAAAGGCAAACCUUUCAACAUCUGAAUUGGUCCUUACAAUUGGAGAGGCCGCUCUUGCUGGUGAAAAGUUCAAAUUCUGUGUGUAUAAGCUAGACAUAACUUGCAUGCUACGAGGGUCUGAAAUUUUGCUUGGAAAAAGUUAACCUAAACAAGAAAAAGAUCACAAAAGAAGAAUCCAAAGCCAAGAAGUUUAUGGGAAAGAAGAGAAAUACUAAUUAAAAGGGGACAAAACAUGAAGAGUCUGGUCAGAGGAGAAAUUGGAAGAAAUCAAUAAAUACUACUACUAGUGGUACUAGUUGUCUGGAAAUUGUGAAUGUGGAAUUGAAGGGCUAGUAGUAGUAUAUUUUUCUUGGUGAGUUGCAGUGAAUUGGAGGCUUAAAUAGGUGUGGGGUACAUAUCAGAACACGUUUCUGCCAUCUGGGGUUGGAGGCCAAGAUUCACACUCUUUGUUUAAAACUGUCAACCAAAGCUGUUGUUUUCGUUUUUACGGUUGCAGCCUCUGCUGAUUGAUUCUGGUGUGUUAGAUUUUUUUUUUUUUCCAUUUACCUGUAAUUUAGAUUGCCGCAGUAGAUUUUUUUUUUUGGGUGGUAUUUCGGGGCAAAUCAUAUUAGUAGUAGUAUUAGAUGAGAUUUUCGUAGGUUGGUCCCUGCUGCAUGCUCCAAGGCCAGCUGCACAGGUAGGUAUCACCAGAAACCACGCCAACAGUGUUGUUGCCAUGCUAUUUACUUGGGGAGCAGUUUCAUAUUUUUCUUUCUCUUUUUCGGUCGAGCAAAAAAGAAAAACGGACCGUAUUUCCAUUAAAAUACAUUUAUUUUAGAAGAUAUUUUCUUCUUUGUUGGAGUCACUCGUUUCGAAACGUCGAGAAGUUACUAAUUAGACAUUGGGAUGUUCGUUACUUAAAGUUAGUCAUUUAAACAUAAAGUCCUUUUCCUCACUGGAUACAGGGCUAUAAAUCCAACCAAAUAAUUUGGUACUCAGAUGUGAAUUCGGCUCAAACCAAACUUGUACAAAUUUAUUUGUUUAGGUAUCAAUUUAAAUCCAAACAUAAUUUUAAACUCAAAAAUAUUAACAAAUCAAUCAAGAUCUUCAUGUUGUCCGACUCGAUAUGUUCAGAAAUAUAUACGGCAAGUAAAUUUCAUAAAAAUAUAUCUAAAGUUUCCUACCUUAACUCCACUUCUUUCCCCCCCGGUAUAUUGCUUAUCUUAUAAAAUAAUAAGCAUAUGAUACUCUUGUCUCUUAAAUAGGUAUAAUUGAUUUUAAUUACAUCCGUAAUUCUUCGUAAUAGAUUUCUUGAAUAUCAAAAGGCAAAAAUUAAGGGAAAAAGCAACAAACUAAGAUGAAAAUCUCGACCUAAUACAACCUGAAAUUUCAAACCAAGCCAAGCAAAUCUUUGAUUGUAUGUGUUUGAACUCGAUACUAAAACAAGUCAAUCCAAACAUUUAGUAAACAUACAUCAGAAAUUUCAAACCAAAUUAGAUCAAUUUCUUUAAAAAAAAAUUAUCGAACACAAGCCAAGUUUAAACAUUUAUUUUAAUCGUCAAACCAAUUCUGAACAUACAUCUAUCUAUCCGGUUCGUUGAGCCUUUUUUUUCAGCCCUAACUAGAUAGGGAUAAUUUCAUAAACCUCCCCUAGGAUUUUCUAUAAUUUCACUUAUCAUCCUUGAUAUUUUAAAAAUUACAACUACCUCCCUUAUCCAUUUAAAAUGACAAUACUGGUUUUGACAUUCUAAUGAAACUCCUUCUUCUAUUAUUUAUCUAUGCUUAUACAAAAGAUGGGUUUUUUGCAUUUUUUUUCCUUUUCCCUUGUUAUUCAUUGCUCUUAUAUUUUGUCAGUAAUAUCAUAGUAUUAUGAAUCCCUAACCUUCAUCGUGAUCAAAUGUCAAACUAGUAACAUUUUUUUUGGAUAACUUUGAAUAUCAUACAUUUUUUAGCUCUUUAUUUAUUUAUUUUUCUAGUAUCAAAUCAAUAAUAACUAAAAAGUAAAUGGCUUGCAUAACUAUUAAAUUAUGAUAGUUCCACCACUUCACUAUUCUACAAAAAUUAUCCAUGACACUUUCUUCUCCAUCUUAAAAGAAUUUAUAUCUCUAAUAAAGUACUAUUAAAAGCAGCCUAUCAUAAUGAGUUUUAUUAUCGUAGUUAAUUAUUAAAUGACAAAUAUGAGCGUAAAAAACUUGACACACAUUCUUUUAUAAUUGUGCUAAAUUACUUUAUAAUUCUUUAGAAGAAUAAAUCAAACUUUAUUAGAAGCGGACAUUAUAAGUUUUUCAUUAAAUUUUUGACCCUAUUUUAAGGUUUAGUUACUAAAAGUGUGAAAUCAAAUGAGACAAGUGUAAAUUUCAAAUCCUUGAGAGAGCUUAGUGAAAUUGAGAGAAAGCUCAUGGGAGGUUUAUAAAAUUAUCCCCAGUAAAUAAAAGUAAAAUUUUACAAGUCCUCCGCUUAUUAACUUACAAAAAGAUGUUUUUCAGAUGGUACCAAUUAAUUAGAUAUAUAUAAAAAAUAAUGUUGUAUUUAGUUAAGUUGCAAAAAAGUUUUAUGUGAAAAAAAAAAUUAACAAACACUUUAUUUAGUCGUUUGAGGUGCAGAAAAUGAUUGCUUCCCUGAGACCCAACAUAACUGAUGAGAAUAUUAGUCAGAUGAGCUUGAAGUCUUGAUUUGAUUAUCAAAUUUUACGUUUUCCUUCUUUGAAUCUUUCCCCUUGUAUAACUUGAAAGCACUCUUUAAAAAAAAAAAAAAUUAAAGGAAAUACUUACUUGGGGGUUGAGGAAAUUUUGUGCUUCCAUGCUUUUGUUGUUUACUCAUGUCAAUAAUUGAUUUCAUUUAAAUCCUUUUCAAAUGUCCAAAUCAGAUAGUAAUGAGUCCUUAUUUUAAGUCGUCAUGUUAAUUGAUGUGUUCCUUUGUAUAUUUCUUUAAAAAUAGCCAACGCAGAACGGUCGCUGGAGUCCGAAUAUUCGCAUCGUGGCGGAUUGCGCUCUAUGUACAGUCGCGGAGCUUAUGAACUUAUAUAUUAUUAGUAUGCUACACAAAACGACAUAAAAACUAUUUAUUAUAAUUCUAGAUUUUUUCUAAUCCUCUCCUUUUAUGGUCAAUUUGCCUCAAGCAUUCAAAUGUCAAGACCCUAUUUACCACUACCACUGUUCAUUAGUCCAUCCAUCCUACUUCCAUAGUUUUUUUUUUUUUUUUUCAUCUUUUGGGCUUCCAUUUUUGUGUCUAUCUCAGGGGGCAAAAGAAAGCAAAAUUACAGAGAAGCAGAUUUUGCCUUUUUUUUUUUUUUGGUGGUGGUGGUGGGGGUGGUGGUGGGGGGGGGGGGGGGGGGCUCAAUAAGUACCCGUAGAUUCAAGUUUAUUCAGGGUUACAAGAUAACGACGAGAAAUAUGAUGGUUUGCCAAAAAUCAACCACAUGUUUCACUCAAACAAAAUUGUACAGGGUCGACUUUUUUCUCCACUUAAAUGUGUUAGGUGGUAGAAUACGACUUGAAUAUAUCCAAACAGCCAAUUAAGCAGACUAAUCUGGACCGCACCACUAAUCCUGAUGCCUGCAUGUGUAGGACUAGUAGAUUAAGGGUGGGUUAGAUAUCCAGCUAGCAGCUGUUAUCAGAAGAAGGAAGACCAGCAGCAAACGAUGCAGACGACAAGUAUGUGAAGAAACAGAAACAGAAGCAGCAGAAAGCAGCAGCAGCCUCAUCUGCCCACAACAUAGAACGUCUUAGAUUCGAUACUGCGACAACAAUUCUACAUCAUGAGUUCUACAUGACAAAACCUUAAUAGUUGUCACGAGCAAUGGUUACAGCCUUAAAUUAAAUAGGUGCUACUAGCACUUGCUCCUUUACAGUCUACACCCCAUCUGCAAACCUUAAUAAAUAGUGCUAUGGUUUUUCCUAAAUAUAUAGCAGUAUACAGCACCCACUCCAAUCUCCUGAAAACUGUCAACCCCACCCGAAGCGAAAACUGCCACAGCUAUCCUAAUCAGGGGGAUGCUAAUUAAGUCAUGAUUUAAUAUACUGUAGUAGUAGUAUUAAAUUAAACCAACCAACCACUAGUCUGCGUGCAAACUGUUGAAAAAUUGUCUGAUUCUGUCCGCAAUCGAUAUAUUCCCCUUCACAAACUUGGAGAAUUAAUUAAGAGGGAUGAUCAGGUGUGUUAUGGUAAAGGGCCACAAGGGGGGAAGCAUUGGAUUCCUUUAAAGAUUGCCUGGAAAGUACUACAUGGCAGUGCACGUUGGGCCGGAGACAACAAUGCGUGGAUUGCAGUUCGUUGAUCUGUGGGAAUUUCUUGGUCCUAGUCUAAAUUAGUCCUCUACUCUCAUCCUCUACCCCACAAUUCGUUGUCGAUAUAUAUAUAUAUAUAUAUAUAUAUUAGAUGCAAACCAUCCAUCCUAGCCAGCCAGUGUGGUGACUGGCGACGGCCGACGGUAGUGGUACUACGAAUACUACUAACCAAAAUCAUAUCUCCAUCAUGUAUGUAUCCUUGUUGUCUUUUUAUGUACGUGAAGGUUUAACUGCAUCGACACAAUUUGGACCUUGUCUAGUAGAACAGGGUGCAUUAGAAACUUGAUAUUGCAUUAUGAGUGGGUGUUGGAAUCGAUUUACUGCCUAUUGCACAUCGAAAAUAUUUGAUCAUCGAGAAGGGGCAAAGACUGUAAAAACUCUUUUAAGUGUUUGUAUUGAAUUUUAACCUGUUACAAAGGCUGUCUAAAAAUUUCCAAACCUAUAGAAGAUACCUAGACCGAUCAGUUAUUUCGUUCUCAUUAACCAAUAUAUCUACCUGCACAUAUGAUUAUCCAGAGCGUCCCCGAGUUCUGACGCGGUAAAAGAAAAAGACAGCGUAUUAUGGAUCAUCAUUGACAUUGCCACUGCUAGUUCUGGAGUCUGGAGCCCCAGUUACCUGUGGGAGUAUUUUAGUUUCUGUUUUUCUUCCCUCUUUUCUCUGUUCCAGAAAGAAAAUCACCAGUGGGGUAUAGAAAAACAAGACACAUUUGGUAAUAGGCAAGUCCUGUCCUAGUUGCGUUUUCUGUCUUCAAUUCAUGAAAGCUGUAUUGGGACCUCAACUGGCAGCUGCCCAGCUUGGCGAAUCCAUCCAUCUAAAACGCUCUCUGGAAUGAGGCAAAAUUUAAUGCAGCAGUGGAUUGAAAGGUUUGACUAGUAAAACGUAGGCCUUGUUUGGCAGGCAAGUUUUUUGUCAAAUUUGUCUGCUACAAAUUUUUUAAAAAAUUUCAACUAUAAUAACUUCAAAAAACUUUUUAAAAUUUUUAAACUAUACACUUCAAAAUAUUCAAAAAAAUUUUUAAAAACUUCUACAGUAAGUUAUAAUAAAAUUUCAGACAAAUACCCAAAAAAACUCACUUAUCAAACGGAGCCAUAAAUUAGUUGAGAACUUGAAAUUUGAGUGAUCUAAGAUUGCGGUCAUCAAGUAGUCAUUCUUCAACUUGGCCUUUGACAUACUGUACUACCACCAACAACGUCGUACUCCUAUUAUUUUUGUCGUCAAGGGUCAAGGGCCAAGGCUGGAAUUUCCAGGACUUAGUUCAGAAGUUCGAUUCCUGCUCUUUUAUACUUCAAACAAUGCACAUAGCUCAGACGUCUCCGGAGAAGCCGCAAACCAACCAGGAUGUUUCUUUUACAAUGAAAAUGGAAAAAGAAAAGGGAUUGGUCAGAUUCGCACCCUUGAUGCAUAAAUGACUUGUAUUGUUAACAUUAAUACUAACUUGCACCGUGUAAGUGUAGAUUUAAGAUGAAGGCGUGUGGAUUUAACUUCAUGCGGGGUAUUACCCAUUGACUCUUCCAUUUUGAGUUGCAUUCCGUAAUUGGGCUGAAUGGUGCAAGCUGAGCUUUGAUGGAGUCAACACUGACCGGCAUGAGAUGAUCUAUUACUUUUGUAACAGAUUAACCAGUGCCAUAUGUAUCUUCUGUUGCGUAUUUCUCAACUAAAAAAAGGGGAUACUUUAGCGGGGUUUUUUCCGACAAUGACAUGGGAGAGCAGAAAAUCUCUUUGCCCAGCUUAUUAGACAAUCAGCACAGUAAAAGUAAAAGCGCGUUCCCUAUAUCCUUCGUCCUUGGCUUUGGGUUCGUUUCUUUUGGACUUCGGCUUGUAUGGUUGAUUUGCGCACUUCCAUGGAAAGGAAAACAACACCGGCAGAAAGAGAUUGAAGAUCAAUUUCGCAAAAGUUGGAUCUUCUCAGAUGCUGGUUGCACUUGAAGAAGGACUAAAGUCAGAGAGACAAUGACUUGAUCCGCCCCUCGUUUUGUCCUUUUCCAGGUGUGAAUCGAUUAACAAGUAGUAGCGUAUAACAAAGCAGCCAACGUGUGCUGCUGCUGCUGCUUUCUUUAUUGACUACUAAUCUAAAUAUACCUUACCUCAACAUCUUGUGUCACGAUUUUAGCAGUGACAACUAAUAUUUCAGCAACCAAGAACCAUGACCAUGAGUUGGAAUUGAGAACUUUUGAGCAAUGUCCCUUUUUUUUUUUUUUUCUUUUCCCUUGUACUUGAUUGUCCAGCUCAACGUUUGGACUAUGUGACAGAAUGAUGAGUUCACAUGCGGCCAUAAGCACCAAUCGGACAUGGUGGAAAGGUAUUUGCACAAGGAGACAUUAGAGGACUGCAGAAUGCAGAAAGCAGAUGACAGAAUAUGGUGGACUGUGCAGCAUGUGUUGAGAUCAGUAGGAAUCCUAAAUGUCUAAAUCUUAACUGGUAGUGCUAGGAUGCGCAAAUUCAUGGUAAGACGAUAAUUGCUUUACAUUGCUAAAACGGAUUAGUAAUAUAUACACUUUCUUGUUCGUAGUUCCUAGUUCACUGUUACUUUUGCAGGAUCGAAUAAUUGCAGUAAUGAAGAACUUCAGAUGCUUCACUAAACUUUUAUGUGCAACUCUGCAUUUACCUUUUAGGCUUUUAUGCGGAAUUGUUGUAUCGGCACUUGCCUUUACUUCGAUCUUCAAGAACCACAUCGACCGGAUAGAUAUGGAUCUGAGGGGGCUGAGGUCCAAUACUAGCAGUAGAGACUCAGAAAGAAAUCGAAUAGGGAGUGCAGCUAUAAUAUUGCCUUUGAUCAAAAUCAAGAAAAAUCACAUCUUUGAAAAAAGAAUUGUGUUAAAUCAAUAAUGUCACGAAUUGAAGUUUUACUUUUACCAGAAACGUAUUGUCAAGCAAGAACCAAAUACUAGGGCACGUAAUCAUCUUCCAAUGAUGGUCUAGUUCGAGUCUCCAAUGCCACUGGCGCCUUCGUAAAUCCAACAUUUGCCAUUAGCAAGGGCUCCCCUCUCUCUGCUGCUUCCUCCAUUCUUUGUAUGUUUCUUCGCCGUCUAUACUUCCUCAGACAAGCAAGAAGAAUACAUAGAAGCAGCAGCAGCAGCACUCCCCCAACCACAGACCCAACGAUUAUCCAGACUUUGUGAUUGUUCUUCUCACCGCCGCCUCCCUGUCUGCUGGUACCUCCACCAGGAGCUGGAGCCAAAGCCGGAGCCGGGGCUGUGAACUCAACCACUAUAGAGAAAUGGCCUUGUUUUGCAGCAGAACAGGCACUCCGGUUAAUUACAUUGUCAAAUUGAAAAGAGCCAUCUAAACCAAAAGAAAUACAUUUUGGCGACAAUCCUUUAGGCACCAGUUGGACGUUCGGAAGGUGGAUAGUUAUGGGAUCUUUGGAAGCUCGGAUGUCCAAUUCCUGUAGAUUUGUGGCUGACAAAUUGACUGCAUCAUAAGCCAAGAGACCCACAAUUGGUGCCAAAUAUGUGUAACCAGGUAAAGGGUAAUACAAGGAAGACCAAUUUGCCAAGUUGUGAUAGACCAACACAAGCCUCUCAACAUAAGGUUGCUCCAAAACACCAAUUGGAAUAUGAAAUUCUUUAUAGCUGUUAACCCCUCUUCUUCUCAAGCUCCCACUUCUCAGCCUCAAUGCUGCAACCUUAAUCCCUGUCAAGUUGGAUGGCACGUUGCCAUCGUAGACAAUGCCCGUUCUGGGCCGAACAACCAACGCCCUGAAAGCAUAGUCUUGAAGUAGUGAAUCUAGUGAGCGUGCAGAUAAUUCGGCAGCUGAUUGAGCUCUAAGCACCGGAACAAUCCAGAGAAUGAUGUAAAAAUACGCAACAAGAAGCAUCAGAAUGCGAAUAAUCUAACGAAUCCCCUGAAAGUAACCGCAUCCAAAACGCAAGCAUUCACGACCACAUCUGAAAGCUGCUUUGUCCGAUUCAACCACAAUGGCCAUGCUUUUGUUUCAUCAAACCUAGAGGAGGCAAAUUAGUGUGGAAAUAUGUAGAGAUUCACUAAAAGCCAAAGGGCUGAAGUAUCUCAGACUAACUUACAAAAGAACAGAAGUAAUCUUGAACUUGAAUGCACGCGUAUAAAAUCUCUGACAAAUAGGUAGAGAUAUGAGGGAGAGAAAUGACACGAAUCCUCUUACCGAUGCCGGCAGAAAAUAGCAGGACAAAAAUUUGGGCAAGAAAAUGGUAGUGAAGGGCCGGAGGCAUUAAGUGUGGCAAGACAUUAAUGGAAAUAAAAAGCAAGUGGAGGGCAACUAACCACACACUAAUACAGUCAUACGCACACAAAACAGAAACACAGCUGUGUCGAGACAGAGAAGAGAGAGUUGCGGUGUUCAGCGUCCACCCCUACCGCUUGUGGAGUAUUUACUCAUCUCCUACCCACUUAAAUUCGGACAUGUCAGCCAAGGAUUAGACCAUGAAAGCUGAGUAGGUAGGGACCAUUGCCGCCUUCCUUUACGAGUGUGGAGUUUCCUUUAUUCGUUCUUUUCUUCUUUUUAUUGUGGUGAGAACUUGGAAGUGGAACCCCAGCACCAAUAAUCCAUGAACAACAGGGGCAGAUGGAGAGGGAGAUAGGGUUGAGAGAUGUUUAGAGUGGUUUGGGGAGAAGAGCCGAGCUAGCAACCACCUAAUGUUACGCUAAAUUGGCAUAAUGCAUAUGGCCAAUCAAUUUACAAAUGAUAAAGAGACAAUAAAAUGAGAAAAAUAAAUAGUUAGGCAGGACCACUUGGACCUGCUUGAUGGAAGAAAAAUACUACUGAAAGCCAUCGUUCAGGGUGUCUGGCUCAGCCUCGUGGUGGUCCUUGUGAAUUUCUUUUUGCUACCAUUUUGUGGAAGGAUCUCAUGUGUCUAAAAUGUGACUACAUUGCGAUUAUACCCUUAAACAAUAUAAAGGGAGGAAAAACAUGGAAUACUGCUCUAAGUUAGACGCUUAGUGGUGACCUCUUGAUUGCUCGCAGAUAAAGCAUUUCUUCUGUAUCUUUCACGGGCAGCUAGAUUUCCAUUCUGCAUUUGGCCUUUUUCCUUUCUACGUCAGUCUUCGCUGUUCUUUCACGAGUGCGCCUCACCUUAGAAGAAUGGGCAGCCUUCUGUUUAGCGGGGUUCUAAAUUCUCAGCAACCGCAUGCUAGGUCUAGCUGUUAACCUUCUGCUUCAUCAGCUUCGCAAAGUUCAAGAGCCAAACCACCCUUAUGGUCAUAAUGCUGAAGUAGCAGCGUGUACACAUUACGACAACACCGAAUAGGGGUAUACUACUAUCCCAGUGCAACAGAAAGUUAAACAUGCAACUGAAUACAAAAGUUCAAAUUGAUGCAGUAACCCCUGAAGGUCGUGCUGCCACAUUGAUCGGAGCUAUAUAAAAAUUUCAAAGAUGCAGGAAACGGGAAUCUCUCUUGUAAGGUCAUGCACAGCCUGCUUAAGACAAAAUGAUCAACUCAACACACUGCAAAUGCAAAUAAAAAAUCAAUAGUAAACACUAUAAGCCAAGCCAAUUGCAAGGACAAUGACCAACCACCUGCAGCUUCACGGUAUACACGAACUGAGUGAGUGAGAAAUUUCAUACAGACAAUUACAAGCUUACUUCUAAAACCAGUUACAAGCUUGAGGCCCACCCCUUUCCCUAGGUUUUCUAAUAUUUGACAACAGACGAAGCACAAAAUGCUGUCAACUAAAUACUGCAAUUGCCAAUCAUGGAGAUACAAUGCCCAAAAAAAUGCAAGUAGGAAAAGAAUCAAUUAAUAUUAUGCCGAUACAAACCUCUGUUGAAGGAGAAAAAUCAGACAAAGUCCAUCCAAGCAAAUAAAUUAGUGUCUCCCCAGAUCUUCAUUUGGCAUAGGGAUAUAGGAACUAAGUGGGGUGACAGAUUGGAAGACAUCUUUGGGCUCCGAGGAUGGAACUGGAUGCACCGCAAUAUCGCGAGUCACUAAUGGAGUUGCAUCAUGAGAAGCAAAUGGAGAUGCCAGAGGCAGUGGUAAUGAAGGUGGCGUUGUUCCAAGCGAUUGGAGAUUAGAGGUCGAAGGCACCUUAACAGGGUAAACUUCAGUGACCUCUUCAGUCCCUUCAUCAAGGUACACAACAUCCUGCAUGGUAAGCUGGUGGUAUUCGACAAUCUCCCUCAGAAAACGGUUCUCCCGUGCAAAAACAGAAUUCUCUUGAGCCAGGCGAGCUUUCUCAGCUAAAAGUGUCUCAAGUUGAAGCCGUAUCUGUUGUCAAAUGUUACUAUUAGAGCUAAUAAAAUGUUGAAACAAUCGAUUCAAAUAAUGUUUUCUAUUUGUUUUUGUUUACAGAUGCAGCAAAAACUAUUACUAUUAAUUAACAUAAUAAAUAGAAAGGAAACUCCUCCUCCCCCGGAACCAACCAAACAACAUCUGCAAAAGACUUUGAGGGUGGCAUUUAAAUUCUUCUUUCCUUUUAUGUCGGUGGAAGGAGGGGAGAGAGAACUUUGAUUUCUGGGACAUCAGAUAACCUAAUUGCCAUAAAAAAACUAAAUGUGAUGUACCGAGGCAAAAGACUUGCUAACUCCAUGAUGCUCUGCCAGCCUCUUUCCUAUGAGUAAAAUGAAGGUAGCAUUAAUGACAAAGAUCUCUGGGGAAACCACUACAAAAAGAUUGAACAUAUGGGAGGAUCCGAAUGAAUUCUGCUUUCAUUUCCCCCGUAUCGAGCACUGGCAGGCUGCACUCUAGGCAGCUAGGAUGGCUCGCUAGACCAGCAGCCAGACCAAGAAUGAAUGUGUAAUGAAGGUAUGAUGUGCAAAAGUAUAGUACUUUGUCUGAAAAAAUCCCUAUUUUUUGGACUUUAGAGGCAAAAAAAAAUGCAAUAUAUAGAAAUGAAAGUUGAAACAUUUCCUUUAUUAUUAUUAUUAUUUUUUGGUUGGGGGGGGGGGAGGGGGGGUUUGAUCGGGCUGGUGUAGAGACACAGCAUGAGAGUGUACCAAAUCAUCAUCUUCUGGGUUGUCUCCUUUUUCACGACUUUCUCUGAGAAUUCUAUUUUCUUCUUCCAGCUGAGCACAGCGCUCUUUAGCAAAAGCUAGGUCUGCUUUGACAGUCUUCAGUUCCCGUAAAAGAAGUUUUGCCUUUGCAGCCAUUGCCAUUGCGACCUGUGUUUUGACGCAAUGAGAAUGUAAUGCACCUUGCAACUGUUAACAACAACUUAGAAUUGAAAUUAGAAAAUUUCACCUAAAUAUACAAGAAUUUUUUUAUAAAUGAGCUAUUAUCGAAUCACCUUUCUUUCUUGUUUAGAUUCCUAGUUUUAUUUUUUUGGGAACAUGUAAGCUUCAUUAAAAAGACAAAUAUGUUACAAAACAGGAGGAAGAUCCUGAGGGAUGUCCAGAAAAGCCUGAAGAUCAAUGGAGAAAGGAGAUAAUUAAAGCAAAUUCUUACUCUUAUUCAAGUCUUAGCAGUAUUAAACAUAAGGAAGGUCAAGGCAAACGAGCAGAAAAACAGAUUAUUCUAAAGCUCAAGGACCAAUUGGGCAUGAGAAAAUUGAAAGUAAAUGAACGAUUACAAGUACCAUAAAAGAACUGAAAAACAAGAAAGAAAACUGAACGUAAAGGAUAAAGGGGCCAUAAAGAACCAAAAACCAAGAAAAUGCUCAAUUUGCUUCUAGAUAUCAGAAUUUAGUGUGUCAAGGGUGAUAAAACCUAGUUUAGACAAGCAAUAGAAGAAAAUUGAGUUUAGAUCAAUCUAUGGCAUCCAUGAUUUUUGAAACUAUCAUCUAGAAAAUAGGGAUCUAAGCAUUUACAAUUUUAUAAGCAAAAACCUUCUCAUGAUCCGUUUAGCUUCCACAAUACCUCAUAAAGAAGAGGAAAGCCAUAUCAUAGAACAUAAAGUUGAAUUAACUCCUAAUCCUUUCCACAUUAUUUUAGUAUUCCCCCACCCCCAAAAAAAAAAUUCAUGUGGUUGAUUUUAGAAACCAACCAGAACAGAUGUUGAACUAGGUUUUGGGCCGCGGGCGGGCCGGGGGGGGGGGGAAGGGAACAAUUAUACCUUGGCUAAUAGAGCCAAAAAACCCACCGUCAAAUGCUAGAAUCUUCUCAGAAGACCAACUUAUACCAUAUGAAAGAAGCAAUCAAAAAGGAAGGUGAGCAGAAAAACUGCUAGACAAGAUAUGAUAAUUUAUUUUUACAAAUUCAUGAAAUUUUUAAAUGCACUAUGACAGAGACACAUAGAACAACUUCAAAGUAACAAACAAGUCUAAAUAACAAUAGACAUCCCCCCUUGAUACAAUAAUUAAAGCUUAUACAACCAGCGUCACAGAGUUGGCACCUUACGUCGCGAGAUGCCUUCAAUUGGAUUUCCAAUUCUGCAUGUGUCUGGGGUUGCAGAUGGGUCUGGCCCAAUGGUUGUUGCCGAAAACUACCAGUAUUUGAAGUCUGGUUCUCAGGGAUAGAACCACUUCCUUUUUUCCUUAUUUGCAGCUUGCGUGUUUCUUGAAUGAUGUCUGCAGUGCGAUUCUCCACAACUGCAAGACCCUCCUGCAAAAGAAGGGGAUUUAGUUGUGGAACACAACAAAGAAUGAACAUAGAAUGUAGACAAACAUUGCGUGCAGGUCUAGGAUGACUACCAAAACAGUUGUCCCCUGGAAGCUAUUUGCACACGGCUUUUCAAAAUUGUAGAGGUGCUAGAUCAAACUAUACAGAGUAAAACAUCUGAUCUUCAAAUUUUUUUUUAAGGAUCAACAAAAGGUCUUACUUGUUACAUUACACUUUAGAAGGAUCGAUGCACAUAAGCCCUCAUCAAAUGCCAUAUUAGUAUUGAAAUGAUGUUCACAUACAGAACCUUCAGCAGUUUUUUAAAGAAAAAUCAAAGAAUACACAGAAGCAAAACUAUGAAAGCAACUCAUAUUAUGCAACAUCAUAGCAUGGUCAGGUCAAGACUUUUAGGCAGCCUCCUGAUGCUGCUUAUAAGGAGAUAGAACUACAUAAACAAUUGUCCAAACUCUUAACAUUAAAGUCAUCCCCGAAUUGGCAUGAGGAAUCACACUGCAUACAGAAGAACUACAAUUGUUCAAAACCAAAGCAUUUGUGCAGAAAAAUAGAGAAACCUACUUCUAAUGCAUUUCCAAUCGUCCCGCCAAUGUAAUUAAGCGAAGAAGCCAGUGCACCUAGUCCCUUUUGUAAAGUAGGGCUGUCUUUCUUCGGACGGCUUUCAGAUGACGAGUAUGUCCCAUCAUACUGCAAACAGGUGAAGGGACAACAUAAAAUAACAGAACAGUAAGGGCUACCCUAAAGGUUCUUUACAAAGAAAAAAGCAAAUGAUAUGCUAUGUAAAGACAGUUCAUAUGAAAAAUUUUGGAAUAUUAUGGCAAAACGUGUUAACAGCAUAUAAAAGGAGAAUCAUAAGGGUUGUUCCCAAAUGAGUGUAAAUGGCUUUUAAAAUUCUUGACCAGUUCAGACACAGUGAUCAUUUUUGAAGUUCACCUGGCCCCUAGUUGCUCUACCAGACAUCUGCGGUGUUGUCCUUCCUGGUGUUUCAUGCUGUUGGGAUGCAUUAUCAUCAUCUAUAAUGGCUUUAGCUUUUCUAGCAAGUACACCCCACAAUCCUUGUUUAGGUUCAUUCAAGCUUUUCAUUGAUGUAUACUCAUAGCUGGAAAAACCCUACAUGUAACCAGUAAACAUUAAGUGGAGUAAAAAGCACGCAACAGGAAUUAAGAGCUAAAAAAUAGAUAAUACUCCACUACGGAAAAGAAAUAAUAGGAAGCUUCCUACAUGCUAGGAUGCUUUAAAAAAAUAAUAAAAAUAAUGCACUACCAAAAAAAAACAAAGGAAAAAUGAAACUCAUUCAGUUUCAAUUGUGCUGAUGAAGUAAUUUAUCAGAAGGUGAGUGUCUUCCUGAAAAUCUCAUGAGUCACAUGAUAAUGCCAAAACUCAAAAAUGUCCUUGUUUAAACCAAAGAUACGUUUACUAACAUAAGUUGUCCCAAGGGCCUUCUCCGUCGAAUAUUCUGCAAACUGUUCCAAUGCAUAAAGCAGAAGUAUUCACUAACAUAUUAAUUCAUUUAUUAAACUACAGAAAUUUCCUAUCCACAAAGUGAUCCAAAUGAUUCCAAAACCUCGUAUACUGGUAUUGGGGUCUUUUCCAGAAGCACACAUGUAAGAAUCCAUCAACUAACUUCUUGUCCAUUUGGCAUGCCCCAGGAAGAGGCAUGCAUGUAUUUUUCAGCGAUUGACUUACUUCUUUUUUAGUUGGAUGCACAACUACUUAAAUGCUUUUAGUUUGGAAACAUUACACCUUUGAUCCCUCAUCUUUGCACUUUUAACAGGCAACCCCAGCCAACAACGUGUCUUUAAAAGAAGGCAGCUCAAACUUUGGAGAUGGAUAAGACAUCAUGCCUGCAACCGCAUCUGAUAGAGCAUCAUGCACUCUUACCGCUUCAUGUCUAAAACAUCCAAUUGAGGACUAAUUUAUAAUUCACAUGCACGAAAUACCAUCACUCAGUCCCUUCAGGCUUCCCAGAGGGUGAUAAUCCCCAGCUUACAACUCGCUCACAUUCCCUCUUCUAAGUUAGAAUGAUAAAAUUCCCCUGAAGCUUUUCAGACAGAAAUGUACCCGUGGCAGUUUCAUCUCCUUUUACACAUUUAAGAAACGAGAUUAUUACAACCCAUCCAAUAUGCUUAGUCCUGUCACAUCACAAGAAUCCACACUUACGUGCUAGUAGGGGAGGAACCGAGUUGCACUUUAUAAACAUAUUUCUGAUUCAAGUCCAGCAUUUCUCAGAAAUGGUUCCAAAUUGUCACCUUUCUAACCUUUUCUUAAAGAACCCACUCCUAUUCAGCUAUGACAACAUAUUUCUGAUUCAAGUCCAACAUUUCUAAGAAAGAGUUCCAAAUUGUCAAACUUUUCUAAAACAAAACCCAUUCCUAUUCAACUGUGACGGCUCAAUUCGACGGAAAUCUACGAAAGCUCAGGAGAAAAAACUUCAAAUCUGAAAACAGCUAUGCUGAAAUCAAGUCAAUAGAGCAUAUAAGUACUUAGAUAUAUAAAGGAUAAGAUAACUGGAAAAGCUGGAACCUUGGGCGAGGAAGAGGAAGAGGACGAGGAUCGAAGGGGAUUGGAGUCGCGAGGAGAGGAGAAGGCGGACUGGCCAUAAGCGGACGAGAGAGACGAGUCGCGAUGAGCAGAAGAGGCUCUGAUUGCUUUAGCAGCGAGAGAGGAUGCGGAAGGCGAUGAAGUGCCGCCGUCGCCGUCAACAUCGUCCGGUAGCUGCAGCGGAGGAGGAGGCGCUGGAUUAUACGGACUCCCAAUUUCUUCUUUGAAAGUGGAAGCCUUACCUAAUUGCUGCCUCCUCCUAUACGCCAUCAAUUAUUUUGGACUUCUCCUCAGAACUCCAGAACCGCCACCGCUAAUCCGCCACCGCUAAUCCUUGAUCCAGCUAAACUUUUCUAGUCAAUCGGAAUUGAAUGCCGGGAGAGAAUGGAAUUCGAAAUCCUUUUCCCCCUUUAAAAUUACCUAACAACCUCGCCUUGCUUGCUUCUUCCUCUUUUAGCUGGUACAAAGAGGGGGCCGAAAAAAAAAAAAAAGAAGGAGAGAUAGAGAAAGAGAAAAAAGCGCCAAGGGGAAACCACCUGCUGCACUGUUUAACUGAACCUCGGCAUCGGCUGAUUCCGCACCAGCCCAGAUCCGAUUCCUUCAAUUAUGAAAUGGGCAUGCUUCUCCCAUUCCCCACUUUUUUUUUUUUUUUUUUUUUUUGCGGGGUGGCAAAAAUUAACUUUGCGUCCGCUAAUUUUAAUACUAAUCUCAACGGAGUCUCUUUUGUUGCAGAUACCAUUUAUCUGCCCACUUCUAUUUUGAGUUUCAACCCAUAUUCUUAGAAGGAAUGUAAGUUUAAACGAGUCGAAUCAAGUUGGACAUUAUUGCAUGAAACUCGAUUUGAUUUUUUUAGUCUAUUUGAAUCAAACUUCUAUUGAGCCAAAUUUUUUAUACUUUAAUGUAUUCGUUUUUACGAUGCUUUGUACAUAUGAAGCCUGAUUAUUAACACAAAAUUCCAUUCGACUUUUACUUGAACGCUUAAUGAAUUAAUCUGUAAUGAGUUCUAUUAAGCUAAGCACGAUUGAAUGAGUUCUAUUCAACGUUUAAUUAUCUCUUGUUCUGUAGAUUUUAAUUAUUUUUUUCGUUCAUUUCAUCUCUGCUUUCUUUGGAUUAAUAUGGAAUUGUUGUUUUCACUUCUGUAUUGAGGAAGAAAGUUGAAUAGAAACUAACAUUGCUACAUUUGCAAUAAACUCAAAACACGAUGUUCUAUGGAAGCAUGGCUUCCCACUAUGGAUGGAUUACACAGUAGUUAGGACAAGCUUCUAAAAUUAAGCCUUGAUUUGAUGCAAAGUUUAUAUUCACAGUUAAUAGAAAUGAUAUUUUGACCAAAGGGUAAGGACGGGGGGAAAGUAGGCAGACGAUGAUAUAACAAAUUUGCUAGUUAUUGAGAGCGUCAAAUUGGAGAGCCAAGGAAUCACAUUGGAACAUGUUGCAAAAGGACUAGAAUAAAAUUACUCCAAAACAUGAGCGAGAGCAAAGCAUGCAAUUUUGUGAUUUUGUGCUCUGUCAAAAGUAUCGGCGGAGUUUCUUGAAGAUCUUGGGCCUCCAUUGUCAGACAUGUGGGCCAUUUGUUGGAUUGCGAUCAGGCACAAUGAUUUUAUGGGUUUUGCGUGGUCCACGCCUUCUUUUAAGCAGGCCUUCUUUUAGAAUUCUAUUGGGAUUCCCACUUGGUCCAUAUGCAACUCAAUUUUGGUUUAUUUUCUUAAUAGAAGCUUAUACACAUAUUAAUUUUGGUUUAACUAAGAAUACGGCUGAAAGAUGCAACCAAGUUACUUGAUAUUCGAAUUAAAUUUGAAUUGAUAAGAGUUCGUUCGAACUUGAUUCUCCAAUAACGGUCGAAAACAGUUUGUUCCAGAUCAGUUUGGCAAAUAAAAAUACCAAACUCGAACAAAAUUUCAAACUCAUUAGAAGAAUCAAACAAAGUUGAACACUAAAAUGUUCAGUUUAAUUAGAUUCAUUUACACCCUUUACCAAGAAGAGCAGCAACUAAAUUUGUUUACACCCCUAGCCAAGAUCAACACUGAUAUUUCAGUAACGCGGAUAUAAUUAUCAUGAUUAUGGAAACAAUAACUCUCGUCUAAAAUAGUAAAUUGCGGAAUGAACUACUUUCUUUCAUCGUCCUUGAAAGGAUGGAGUUUUUAAGCCAUCGUUGGGAAAGGGAGUAUGGAAAUGUAAACAAAUUGCAACGGACGAGUACUGGAUGAAAAUUGACUACGAUACAAACAUAUUAUUCAAUCACUGUUACCUCAACAUAGCUGGUGUGUGGUGAUACAAACAUCAGGACUUCAAAUCGAACCUAAAAUUACUUUUUGGUCCGAUAAUGACAUUUAAAUUUAUGUGUGUCUCAAAGCUUCAAGCAACUUAUUCAAAGCUUCAAGUAACUUAUUACAGUAACCAUUAAGACUGUAUCUUACAAAAGAUAGAUGGUAUCUGGUACCCUUUUUCAAAGGCUGCGGUUGUUUACUUGUCUCUCGGGAUAGGGAUUGUGCUACUCUCGAAUUACUUGAAACUAUGGCAAAAACAUGUAACAGCCAUUACAGACUGUCCUCCUUAUUAAUCAACUAUUUUUACCGAAUUCUGGUGUGUGCCCACAAGUGUUUUAAGGUUCUUAUUUCGAAUCUCGUUUGACAGUUGAUCGUCUAUCACUCGCGGAUUCUUUUGAAAGUAGAUCGCGUCUCUUUCAUUUGAUACUCAUCCGCGUCAAACAGCCAGGCCUUUCUUGUGGUGAUGCUCUUAAGAUCUUCUUGUCGUUAGACAAAGACUGGGAUUGCUGCUUUAAGCACUUAAAAACUAUAAUUCUUUGUAGCUCAAGUAUAUACCUAUGUUCAACCACUGUCCCUUGCCCAUUCCAGAAACAUUUCAAGUGUCUAUAGAAGAUCAAUGGUUCACUGCUUACUUUUCAUCACUUGUCACUGAUAUUUGAUUUCUCUAAAUUUAAACGAGUGUGCGAUGCACUGGUCUGGUCCAAUGUUGAUUUAGUCCGUGUCGAUUCUCCUUGAUCCAGUUAGGUGUUUUCUUAAAUAAGUUAGCAUAAGAAUAAAAGUAGUAUAGAAAUUGCAUAUUGAUAAAAAAAAAGUAUAUAUCUAUAUACAAAUGGACUAAUUAACCCCACAAAAUUGGUCGUGAGAUUUGCUUUCGCCUAACUGGACCACAAUAAUUGCAAUACAUAAUUGAGUAAAUCUUAUAUACACUAUUACUAUUGAAUCCAUGAUAUAUAUGUACAAAAAUUGAAUUUUAAAUUCAAAUUCUGCAUAAUUGUCAUUCAUGCAACGUUGACAGUGAUAUACAUUGUCAGCAUAGAAAAGAUUAGUCAUAUGUAACUUAUGAACUUUAUGCCAUCCUUAUAUAUCUUUACCCCAUGCAAUUGUAAUCGUAUUCUCUUGCAAUAUAUCAGUUGUGUAUUGAUUUCAAUUAAAAAAAAAUGAAAAGAAAGUUUUUUGAUUGGUUUGAGUGACCAUAAUAGAAAAAUUACAAAAAUAUUUUAUUGUUUGGGUAUGAACUGAUAUGUAUUUUUUUUUUUGCUUGCAUUAUAAACUCAUUUUUUUAAUAUAUUUUUAUCCACUUUUUUUUAUUUCUUGCACAUCACGUUGCAAAAUAGAUCACAGUGUUAUUAUCUCCUACACUCUUUUUUUUUCCAGCGAUUGCCAGACUCAUGAAUCACAUAGCAAUAAUAUGCAAUCACGAUAGGGAUUUGUAAAUGCUGGAUUGGCUGCGGAGAUGGUCAAAUAUUCCCAGACAAACCAACAUGGAGAAAUCCCUACAGUGGUAGCAUGAAAGGCUGUAUAGAUCGUUAGGAAUGACAAACUAAGCCUUAGAUGAAAAAAAAAAAAAAAAAAAAAAAAACUAAGCUGAGAUGUUACUAUUUACAGGGCUGUGUUGAUAUCUGUACAUGUAUCCAUCGGCUCGGAGUUGUUGCAAUCAAAUCAAAUAUGCUCGAGAAAAACUUCCAAAAUAGAAAUGAGCAUAAAUCUUGGUGCAUGCAAGCCACUUGGGAGUCAGAGAGGGGAAAGGAUAAUGAAGAAUAUGAAAUUAGCCAUAAAAUGUUGGUCGAAAGUUUUCUCUGUAACUCCGCGAUGUGUUGGUUUUCUCUGUAACAUAAAAUGUUGGUUUUCCCUGUAACUCCGUGAUGUGUAGCCAUAUGAUUUGAUCCAAAAUACCCUCUAUCCAUGUUUAUCCACGCUUGUCUUCUUAUGGUUCCGACAAAACCCAUGCUCAUUUUACGCUGUCUAAUCCAAUUUGAACUAGCCAUGUUCAAUGAACUUGAAUAUUAAUACAGAUAGAACUAGGUAUAUUCUGCAGGAUAGUACCUGAGGACAAUGACAACAAAUUUUUUACUGAUUUUAAUUUUUUUUCCCAAUCAAUUUAAUGAGUCAAAUGAAUGUGUUUCCUUCAGCCAUCUAAUUGCUAAGGAAAAUGCAGACAAGCCAGUUAUUGUAGUUCCUCAGUGACAACAGCAGCAUUGUUUGGGGCUGUAUACCUUCCAUGUGAGUGGAGGAAAAAAGCAGUCUGAUAUAUGACUCAGUCCAUCUAUGAACCAUCUCACAAAUCGGUGAGAUUCAUACACCUUACAAGCAGAAGUAGUUGUGGAUGUGAAACAAGGGCCUUUAAUUUCUCGCCACCAAUAAAUUUUAUUGGAAAAUGACGAGAUCACAAGCACAAGAAUUGACCCGUAAAUGGCCGCAAAGAAAAGAGAAAAGUCUAUUACAAAUUUACAUUAAUACAGUACUAUAAACAACCCCCAAUUGGAACCCAAAACUUGUUUGUGGAGCCUCAGUUGUUAUUUAUUUUCAUUUUGGCAGUUGGCACCGAGCAGUAGCUUUCCACUAAACUAGUGAAUGAAAGUCGUCACAGAGAGGCGCAAUUAUACUACAACAAUAUAAGGAGGUACAGAAUGAAACUGCUGCGCAAUUUAUCAGUAAAAUACUCAUGGACAUGAUGAGAGCAGCCCCUAUUUUCAGUCAUUUGCAAUCUCUCUCUAAUCAGUCGGACACCCCUCAAAGAGUGAGCCUCAACUGUAGCAAUUCUCAUUAUUACACCACAGUUUCAUUGGCUCUCACCCCAGUUUCCACUAGGAUGUAAUUAGGGCCUAUGAGUGUUUUUUUUUAAAAAAAAAUUUUAAUCCACCUGGUUUGUUAAUUGUUAUCCAUGACCUAAAAGCUAAUCAUAAACAUAGCUGUUCUGUCACUGAGUAGAACAUAUCCAUGACCUAGCUCCAAAUUUUCUUUUUUUAACAGAAGACAGAAAUGACCAAUUGAUUGAAUAGAAUUUCUCCGUGGAUCUCCUUAGAUUACUCUUAUUGAGCCGGUUUCUCGAUGCUUUCUGCUUCGUUGAGUGUAAGUGUGUGUGUGUGUGGGUUUCUACCAGUAGGAAGAAAAACAGAAGACAGAAAUGUAUUCUGCUAGCUUAUGUAUAUUUGUUUCUAGCAUGUAAGGUUCCAGUCUCGAGUGCCAUAAUUCAUAAAAAAAAAAAAAAAACUGGAAUUUGGAUGCCGACACGUAAUUUUUCUAAUAUAUAAUUCAUAGUUUGUAAUCAAAAUUAUUCAUUCCAUUUGUAGGGAUGCCAAUAAAACGUGGUUUAAAUGAGGGUACGCCUAGCAAAAGAGAUGUCAAAUCUAAUAUCGAAAAAGGCUUUAUAUUUGCAAACUGCUAACUAAUCUCUUGUUGUUUUCUUGCGUUGAUUUGUCAUUUUACAGAAUUGAUUCGUGAUGUCAACCGUUUCCUUAUCUUUAAUAUCAUUAUGAAAGACGGGUAAUUUUCAUCAGUAACUUCAAUUACAUCCCCCCAAAUAUUUUUCAAAAGUUUAAUGAAUUGCUUUCUUUUGUGGAGUCAUUCUCCCAUGAUUGUAGACACUUAAGCCUCAGCCUUUUUUUUUUUUUUUUGGUCUAAUUUAAACCUCUGCCUAACUAUUCACUGAAAAAGAAAAUAGUAGAAAAGUCGUGAGAUUAGUAGGGAAGCCAAUAUGGCAUGCUUGGUUUAUGGAAAAAAAUGUGUUUGGAUAGAGUAUUAUUUGAAAUAUUAUUUAGAAUAGUUACUGUAAUAUUUUUUAUAAUGUAAUGUAUGUGAGAUAAAAAGUAAUUGGGAAUAUGAACAGAUGGAUUCGAAAAUGUGUUUAUGAUGCAAGCGAAAUAUUAUUCGAGAUAAAUUUGCAAUCCAAACACACUCGUACUAGUGAUGUUUACUAGAGUCAACUCCUAGCUAUCAGCAGACAAGUCAAAUUCAUUUUAAAGAACCAGCUUAUCUCUGCAAAUUGAUAAUUAAUGUCAUUUUCCUCACGCUAUUUUCUUGUGUGGAUUUGAUUAAAUUGUAUGCUUACGUUAAUAUCGUCAAUCAAGACGAGCUGUUUUCAUUAGUUGCAUCAAUUUUAGCCCUUAAUAUUCUAAAGCGUUAUAUGCAACUUUACUGUUUUUGCCGUUUAAUGAGUUGUUUUGUUUUGUCACUCCUAUCACUUAUCACCGUUGGCAUUUGAACCUCAAUUUAACUAUUCCUGAAAAAAAAAAAAAAGCAAAAAGAAAAAAAAAAAAAGACAAUCUUCUGCGUUUUAGUUUAGCCAGUGAGGUCUAGGAGCGAAUAUGGCAUAGGAAUCUCUUGCAAUACGUGAAAGAGACGAAAAGACUAAUGCACCAAGUAAAAAUUGCUAGUUGUGCCAGUACUUAUUUUUCAUUAAACUGGAAGUUGGAAUUCUUGGGUUUUCGGUACAUGCCGAAUUCAGUGGGGGCUUGGAGAUUUACCAAAGCAAUCAAUGUGAAAAGAAAGCUGGACAUUUAUGUAAUUUGAGCUAUGAGCUGUCGCCUUCUCCUGACCCCAGGUUCAAAACACAGGACAAACCCUAUUAUACUUCUGAAUUGUUGGGAGGAGGGAGGGCAAGGAAAAGAGUAGUCCAGAUAGAUAUCGUCUAUGAAAGCACUGACGCGAGAGAGAGAGGGAGAGACUGUUGUAAGACUUGAAAAGAGUAAUGGUCAAAGAAAACCCCACCAAAUGUUCUUUUCAUUUCCUAUAAAAGUAGACCAUGGAGAGGGGAGCACGUAGAGAGGCACAGCACUUUAUCCACAUCUGUAUAAAUACGAGCCAUCCCUUCAGUUAAGAUCAUCUUUCAUGCCGUAUCUGUAUAUGUAUUUGCCAUUGAUUACUACAAAACACCUCAGCCCACUUGAAAAUCUCCUGAGAAAAUAAAGGAAAAGGGCAAUGGUAGCAGUAGUAGCAAACACCCCACCUCUUUAUUUCUGCUCUUUUUGCCAGAUUUGCUGAGAUCUUCUAUCUUGCUCUAUCACUCACUCCUUUUCUCUGACUCUCAUGAGGAGAGCGACACAUCCCGUCCUCUCUAACGGGGCUCGUCUUCCGUGAUCUCUGCUCUUUCCAAUUUUUACUUUCCCACCUUUCAAAAUAGUACUAGUAAACUUCCCUUCGUUUUUGCUUUUCUUCUCUUUUUCCCUUCUUGUUCCCAGAGUUCUAUAACUUGUUUCUCUUUCAAGAUGCAACUUGCAUGAAUAGGGUUUGAAAAUGGGGUUGAUGCAUUCAGCAGUGGGAUCUAACUCGCCUUCAAGAAGGUAUGUUUAUUAAUGUUUUGUGCCUCUUAGGUCAUUGAUCAUGUGAAACCAUAUAAGUCAGCUCACUUUCUACUUUUUUCUUGAUUUGGUUAUAAGGGAAUUUCUCCUUCCUAGUGUUCCAAAAUCUGGGCAGAUUUGCCGAUUUGUUUCUAGAUAAUGUAUUUCUCUACCUUCCUUUUUUCCUUUUUCACUCUUAGUCUCAGGUGCGAGGGGGCACAUCUCCUGUUUACAGAAAAUAUGUCUUUCUCUGCAUGAUCUACGUGAGUUUGAUGUCUAACUAUAUCGUUUUUUGGUCUUAUGCCCAUCUUUUCUGCAUGUGGUCAUUUUAGUUAUCUCUUUAUAUUGUUUUUAUUUUCUCUCGCUUGACCUCUUCCCUUGACAUUCUGUGCUCACUCACUGGUUAGAGGAUGUAUACAUGUAUGGUCUUCCUGAGUCUAGGGUUGGGGUUUACUGCAGAUGAUGCAUCCAUCUUGGAGAAUGCAAUGUCUAUACUCUUAGAUCAGCAAUAAUUUUAUUAUAAAUUAAAAAAGAAAAGUCUGAUUUAGAUUUACUAAUUUGAUUUUAAGUUGUUUGCCGUCUCUCCUACGAAGCAAUCAACGUUAAAAGGUACUACUACUAGUAACUGCUUAAUACCCUUCGUCUGGCACUAAAUAGAUCUAGACUGCCUGCCCUUGAAUUUCUUAUCUAAUUCCUAUUUCAGAAGAAGAGAAUGCAUUUUGAUUAUGCCAUUUCUAUAUUUUUCAGUUUCUUCAGUAAAGUCUUCUCUUUCAGAUAGCUUACUUGUUGUCUAUGAUCCUACCAUGUCUAAUGAGAUCAUUAAUUUCCUAGGCCGUAAAGAAUCUGUAUCAGUGAUAUUAAUGCUAAAAUCCAAUUAUCAAGCAUUUAACACGAUCAUAGUCCAUUGGCUAUCCAAUGCCAAUUUCUCCUGCCCCAGAGAUAAGAAUCAUUACCGUAUAAGAGGGAGAAGGGGGAAUCAAAGAAACCAGAUUGUGCUUUAGAUUAUAGUGGGCACUAAGAAACACAUAGAGAGUCGUUCUUCCUUCAAGUUAAAGUUACAGAAAAUACUUGUAAAAGUUAUAAAGACUGUGACAACCGGGAGCUAGAUUAGAGGACCACAAAAUCUGCUGUUUGGCUAGAGCAUAAUUCUACCUUGAUAGUUAAGCUAUCGUUUCCUUGAGUUCAUGCUAAUAACAUUAUCUAGUGCAUCAAAAGCAGCUAUUGUGUGAUAAUCUAUAUUGAUGACUUGUAUGCUGGGAUUUUUGCUAUUGGAGUUAUCCUUGUUCCCAACAGCCUUUGGCCAUUGUGAUUGCUGGCUGCAUUGCCAAAAAUUAUACGAGGGAGCUUUCUUCAGUCCACUCAUGGGUGGGCGGAGGGAUUGAAUUAGCUGCCGACUCAUUCAUUCAAACACAAUAGAAAGGAUCAUGGGAUUGUGCUACUGUGAAUGUGUGAAUGAUGCGGGAGGUAAACCACAUCCUUCUCUUCUCUGUGCUUGGACUGAAGGGAGCUCCCUUUCAUGGAUUUCUUCUAUUGUGUUACCCAUAGCUUUAUUCGAAAUUCUGUGUUGGAAGAGGAUUCUCCUAUUCUUCUAUCAAUCAUCGCCGGAAGUACAUUGCAAAUGAUUCGACCAAAUUGCAGGUAUGUUAUCAUUCACUAUAUAGCUACUUCAGAUGAUUUUUGGACUCACACUGGUGCUCUUAAUUUGUAUGGUUAUAGUUAAUUCCAGAGUGCACAAUUCAACUAUUUCCCACUUCCUUACAAACUAGAUCUUUCUAUGUCACAAUGAUUCUCUAGACUUUUUAGUAGGAUUUUUUUGGCUUUCAACAUAUAUAUGCUCAGAAGAUGCAUCAUCCACUAUCCUCUUGUGACAUUCACAUUGUAUUUUCAAGUCGGCGAGGAUCAAAACCCAAAAUGUGCUCUCACAAUUUAAAUUUCUAAUUUGACUUGAAAGGGCUUACUAACUUAAGCUGCCAUAGAAUUUUGUCAGAGGGACAAUUCAGGAGAGCUUUUGGUGCCACAAUCCAAUUUUCCCUUUCUUUUUACAUGAUUUCUGCUUGACUUUGACAUUUACAUACUCAGGCAUCAUCAAAAGGUAAGCAGUGUAAAAUUGAGUGGACGUACACGCUUUCAGGUGUCUUGAGUUUUGGCUCUGAGAGGAGCUUCAAUGACAAGAAUUCUAUCUGAAAUUUGACAUGCCUAAUAGCAUUAACAGUUUCUGUAUGUCUGAAUUUACAGUUAACAAACUAGUUCUGCUUGGGAACCUGGAUUGUAUUUUGCAAGCUAGGGUUAAGGCCUUCAAGAUCCCUCAAAUUUCAGUCAGUCUGUACUCUAAAUACGAUGGUAAUAACAAUAAAGUUCCUCAAAAUGUAGUUAAACAAUUUAGAGAAAUUCCUUGUAUGGUGCCUAAUGUUGUGAGAUUUCAGAUAUUGUAAUGAAGCUGUUUUCUUUAAAGAAGCCAGUGUACAUACCUGAUUUCCGGUUACUUUCAGUGUUUUCUUCUUCUCAGGUAUGUCCUGCUUGGUUGUUGUUGUUUGUUCAAAAAUGGUUUUUGGUAGUAGUACUUUGUUUGGUCUCGUCCUGACAAGCUAGCCCUUUUAGUUUGAUCUUGCGCUACAUUUGUCCCAUUUUUAAUUUGAGCGAUCAGAGCAUUCAUUCAUUCCUCUCCAGUGAAAGAUUUCAGCUAAAAACUGGUUGUAAGAGGUCGAAAAGAUUUUGCUGUCUCUGGAGUACAAAGGCAUAUUAGCGUACUCGUGCGAGCAGUAUAAACGCGGUGUUGGACCUGUUGGUUUUUUAGUUCCACUAUUCAGUUUUCAGGCCGGUGGGUUGUUUGCAGGAAUAAAUACUUUCGUGCCCACUUGAAAAAAAGGACCCGGUUUUUGGUCUAAUGGGUUUUGGCAUUGGAACUUGUAUCUAAUCUUAAAUUUUAAUGUAGGAACCUAUUAGAGUUUGUUGACAUUCGUGAGAUUUACUUUGUUGAAUAUCGCCACUUUCUGGGAAGUGAUGAAUCUCUCCUGGACUCCUUAAUUUAGUCUCCACUGAAUGUCUACACAUGGGAAAAUGUAUCAAGUGUUUGUUCUGCAAUAGUUUUUUUAUGGGAAAUAACACUCAAACGAAACGGCAACAGUAGGUAAGGUUAAGAUGAUGCAUUCUGAGAAAGUGGAGGUCGGGUGGGGUAAACAGCACGAUUCUCUGCCGCCUCUCCAUCCAAUUAACGGGGCGGUUUCUUAUCAACCUACCUCGUUAUGUGUUUCAACAGUACGGCCUUAACCCUAGCUAAGCUGCAGAGCAGGCCACCAUGGACUCAGUCCCCCCCCCCCCCCGGCCUCCUUUUUCUCUCUCUCUCUCUCUCUCGUUUCUUUUUUUUUUUUUUGGGUUGGCUUAUUGCACUUCUUUUCUUGACCUCCCAACCCAUUAAAUAAAGUGCCUAAAAAUGGCUUUUACUACUGGUUGUGCUCUUGUAUGAAGUUUUAUAUUCUACCAACUACUGUUGUCUCAAAAGAUUCUGAUGAAGCAUCAAGUGGAGCUGAGUAGGACUAGUAGUAUUAAAAAGGCUACUUCAUUGUGCUGUCCCAGAAUACAAAGUACAGGUUUUAUUGCAUUUUAAUCACGUUUUCCUGCAAAACAAGCUCCUGAUCAGAUUUGAUUACUUGUUUCUUUCAAGGAUGAGAUCUUCUUCUUUUGCUGGUGCUUGCACGAAUACUCUUUUUACUUUGCUAAACUAAUUUUGGACGCUGUGUUUAGAAGGCACAUUUAAAAGCGACUAGCAUUGUAUGCCAGUGGGAGAUGAACUCGGAAGUUUUCGGCAUUUCUGCCAUUGGUUCAACUCAUUUUAUUAUGCCUAACAACCAGCCACUCGGCUCUGCCGCAUUUGCUUUGAUUGUUGUUUUUCAAUGGAUAUCGUUUUCAUCUACGUAAGGUUGAAAUCUCCUUCUGUUUGUUUUGUCAAUCGAAUCAAAAAUAGAAAAAUAUGAAGGAAAAAUGUCAUGGUGAGGAACUGUAUAAGAAAUGGAUUAUGUACGUGGCUUUGGGCAUUCAUAACCUUCUUGCACUUAAAUAUACUACGUGAUUGACUUGAUAAAUUUUCGGCCUUCUACUUGAUCGCUACAUUAGUUUAAACCUUUUUCGCCACAUUCAAGCAAAUUCAAGCCGGCCGUAGGCACGCAUAUAGUUGAAUUAUGCAUCAAUUUUCUUUUUCUGAUUAAUUCAUCGUAAACCUGACAUGCUUCAGCAACUCAGCCAUAAUAUACUUUCCUCACAUAAUAUUGGUGCAGAAAGUUGAAGAGCAAAUAACCCUAUAUCUGUUAGCAAAAUAUCAUUAAAAAUGUAAUGUAUACAUAUAUGUAUUAAGGCGCAGCAAGACAAAAAAAAAAAAAACACGAGAUUGCAUUUUCCUUGAUACCCUUUUGUACAUCAGUCUCGUCGAUCACCAUAAAAUUCACAAUGUGCUAAUUUACAUUCCGGUAACACUUGAUUGUUCCACUCAGGAAUGCAGGGUUGAGGACGAAUUUGCCUCCGGUAUGGUUUGCAAGGCCGGCUUCCACCGUGACAUAGGGUACCUUGAAUCAUCCUUAUCCUUGGUUGUGAUGUCCUUAUUCCCCGCCAGGCCGGUUUUUGUGCCAUUUUCCUUGGGCAGAUUCUUAUCAUUUCUUCCGCUGCAAACAAUUGAAGAUUUGGGGUUUCUUGAUGCUGCUAAUUUAAGGAGGCUGUCGUAGGUUUCAUCAUCCAAGGCUAGCCCACGCGGCAGUAAAAAGUAAAGCUGAUUGCAGCUUAGCUGGAAGGAUUCUGGGAGUACAGUUUUGUCUGAAAAGCAUCUGAUGACUUUGUGGUAGGGGUAUGCUAACAGAAUGUCUUUUACUCGGAUGCCUUGUUUGAAUUUGAGCAAUUCACCGUCUUCUUUGAUGACCGGAACUUGCUUGUUGACGGUUGAAGACGGAUCACAAAUGCAAGAUAAUGAACUCCCCAUUUGGUUUAGCAGUUUAGCUAUAGAGAUUCUGCAGACUUUUUUUUUUUUGCAUUUGGAGAGGGGGGAUUUCAUGUGGGCAUAUCAAGGUUUUGUCUUUCGAUUUAUCCUAAGAACCUGGAAAGGGUAUAGAUUCGGUGGAGAAACAUAAAAAGAGUCUUGUAUAGGUGUAUAUGCUUAUUCUCGUACUUUAGGUUAGCGCCAAAAUGUCUGUGUUGGAACUCUCUAACCCUCAAAACGACUUUUCGCAAGUAACCAAAUGGGUGUGUAUUGAACAAGAAGAAGGUUUUGUUUUUCGUUAUGAUUGGCAUAUUAUUGCAUGUGGCUUAACGCCCCAGGCUCUGCCAUUUUUUCCUUUAUUUCUCUUGGAGGUCCUGAGGUGGGCUGUCUUCAGAGCCUUCUGGGUUUUUCCUUGGCCAUCAAAAAUCUAAUGACAAAAUUUUUUAUGCCCGGUUUUCUCUUGCGUCUAAUAUUCCGGUAUCAUUUAAUCCCUUAAUCAAAUCAAAUACUAAGGCGCAACAAUUUUUGUACGAUGGUUAAUAGCUUAAGCAUGUCAGGAGAAACGAGGUUCUACUAAGGCUCGGAUGGAUGGAAUUAAAGAUCUUGAUUUCAAAUUUCUCUUUGUUUCUCAAAUCUUACCACUACACUAAAAAGUUAAUAAAUAAAUAAAUAAUUUGAAUAAGUUCUAGGUUGAUUAAUUUAACUAAUAAUUAUAAGGAUUAUUUUUUCUUACACUGACAGUUUGUGUAUACACUAUCAACGUUGGAUGAAUGAAAACUAUGCAAAAUUUAAUUUUGAAAUUCAACUUUUACACACAUGUCAUGAAUCAAACGGUGAUAGUGCAUACACUGUCAGUGUAUAUAAGAUUUACUCUAAUUAUAAAUAUGAUUUCAAUUUUUGUGGUGUUCUUGUUUGCUUUCAUAUUCAGAUUAUAUAUUUUUUUAAUACUCAAAUGUUAAAAUAAAUAAUCAAUCAAAGAUUAACUUUUAGUGAUUCUAAUUAUUCUUUAUAAUUAUAUCGAUUUUGUAAAAUCUAAAGCAAAUAAGAGCGAUGUACAUCCUCCCAAUCAAUUAUAGUUAAAACGGGUUUGUGAGGAACAUGCCCAAAGGAAAAUGUUCCAUUAAUCGUCACUUAAAUGAUUUAGUAUAUCUAUCUAUCAGCUUAUACUCAAUUACUAACAAAAUGGCAUCUCACACCUUUCAGCGUUGUCACGUACCUAAUGGUAGGGAUUACCUCUUGCUAACCCCACGUCUAAACUAAGUGAUGAUCCAUAGUCACUGAAGAACUCUACUCCUCUUCUCCAAUUUCUCUCUACUGCUAAUUUUCUUUGAAUUCCUUUCUUUUCGGGAGGGAGCCUGGUUUCGAUUUGUUAUUUUCCUAAUAAAGUUUCUGCUAAAUUUUUUUAGAGUUCCUAGUGAGAAUUUUUGUUCUCCUAAUAGUUCCAAGUAGAAUUCCUAAUAUGACUGCUAAUUUGUUCUCCUAAUAUGACUGCAGGGAGGUGGUGGAUAUGAUAAACAAGGAAAAUGAGCAGCAAACAAGGGUAGAUACCAUCCUUGAGGACAUUGCAAAUAUGAGAUGUUUGUUUGCAAAAUGUACUUUUUCUUUUGUCCAUAGAGCUGGAAACAGUUGUGCACAUAGUUUAGCGAACUUUGCAGUAAAGCUAACUAAAAAUGUUGAAUGAGAAGAAGAGUGCUUUCCCAUGUGGCUCCAUGAGAGUGCACAAAAUGAUUACAAAGGAAGAAAUUCUGAUGUAUCCAAUCUUGUACUAUCAAGUUUAUGAAAUGAAAUGAAUUUAUGAUGUUUGACAAAAAAAAAAAAAAAAAAAAAGUUCCAAGUGAGAUUUUGUGUUAUUUUCUCUUGUUUUGUUGUUUGAAUUUGAAUUUACUUCAAAUUUGGUUGUCAGAUCUGAAUUUAUUUCAAAUUUGGAUCUAUGUCGACAGAUCUCAUCAUCUUUAUUGGAACUUAUAACUAUUGAUUAGUAAAUCUGAAGAUUGCAACAUGCACAGAGUGAGCUGUAGCGAUUUAUUCUAUGAGCAGAUUAUUUUAAAAUUAAUGGUACUUUUUAGAUCUGUUAUUAAUAUCUCAGGUCUUAUGUAUCUGUUAAAUUGCAGAUCUACAAUUUUAGUGCAUGUUUUAUCUGCCAUUAGGGCACCGAUUUAUAUCAAUUGUGCUGGACAAUUCCAGCAAUCUGUUAAUGGAAUGUGUUUUGUUAUAUAUAAAAAAAAAAAAAACAACAAAAUGGCAUCUCAAAAACACACAAUAAAUCCUUUCAUGCAAAGCUUAAGUGCCAAGGACAUGGUCCAAAUUUGGGUAGACCCAAUCGUCAAAAACCCAAUCAUCCAAACACCCAUGAUUUGGGCCAUAAAAUUUUUGAAAAUCAGGUCCAACCAAUUGUGAGCCCAAACCCUGACUGAACGCAUAUCCAUUGAAUCUAACAAAGGAGCCAAUUCCAUCUGUGAAAUCAAAAAUUUUAGUUGCACGUGCUAAAUGUGUGAUGGAUCCGUCGCGUCCGCAACUGAUACUAGUUAUCAGUAAGUGUGAGUACAAGCAGGACCACGAGCAGGUGAGAGUGUCUGUGUACAGACGACAAAGUCGGAGUCCAACUGAAUAUUUGAAACUUCCUGGAUCCACAGAAGAGCGUUACAUUUUAGUCAAGAAUGCUUACAGUUACGUACAAAGCCGCUGACGGCCCAGAUAACGACCCACGCCUCCUCUUUGAAAGCGCACGAAAUCUCCAAUGCACAGAGCAACUCUCAACUUACUCUCAAAAUUGUGAUUCCCAGUUACUCCAAAAUUGUGCUCCAAAUUCGCAAGUCUUUAGAGAAUGGUGCAAUUAGUAACCUAUCAUGUCAAACUUGCAAAUAUAUUUGUACUCUACAACUGGUUGAUCCCCUCUUUUCAAUAGUAAAAAAAAAAAACAGAAUUUGCAUCCUAACAGAGUAUCAACUACAGUGUUUAAGAAGAAGCACGUCCACAUCAAGCAACAAUCUCCUAGAGCUGACUAUCUACAGAACCCAAAAGAAUGCUUUAUCUGUGGAGCUGUCAAACCCAGUGAAUUAGAAAAGAGAGAUAAAUAAGAACAGCCCCACAAUUGCCAUAAACCAUUGAUGCCAUAAGAUUGAGUUUAUAGCAACCAAGAAAUUUUUAGAGCGCGUCUGGUCAAAAUGUUACAUUCUCGUAAUACAAGAGAAAACCUAAACUUAACCAAAAAAACUAAAAGUUGGAAUCUUCAGUGGCUUAUAGCAGCCAAUGCAGCUGACUACAGAUAUGUAAGAGCUUCCUACCUAUGACAUAUGUGAAUGAUGAAGAUGCAUCCUGAAAGGGGAGAACCACAACUAUCGAACAUGUCUUCACUGUGCAAGAACAAAACAGAAAACAAAUUUCAUGCCUCCAAUUUGAUUGCUGCGUCAAGUGAAUCGACAGUGCUAUUCUGCUGUGUCCAUAGUUGCGCAUAUCUCCCAGGCCUCGACAAGAGAACUUCAUGUGGACCUUGCUCUACAACCUUCCCAUUCUCCAAGACUAUAAUCUAACAAAUACAGAACAAUAUCCAAAGUUAGGUGAGCAUAAGAACAAAGAGCAGUGAAAGGCCAAAGGAAGAACCAAAAGCAACAGAAUAAAGAAAACUGGUGUGCAUGAAUAAACUGUAUCAAGAGAUCAAACCAGACAUUGCCUCGAUUUCAGUAACUCUGGAUAAGGGCAAUUGUGGUAAGUUAAAUUUGCUACAAACUUGUAUCAAUUAACACUGGACCAAGAACAUGAUCUUAAACUUCUAAAAUAUAGUUAUCAAAUUGCUGCCUGGCAAUAUAGGCAAAUGACAUUGGUAUGAAGUCCUGGAAAAAAGUGUAACAAUAAAGAUGUUUGCUCUCCAAAAAUUUUACCUCAUCACACUGCAUGGCCGUCGUCAGUCUAUGAGCAAUAAAAAUCGAAGUCCGAUUGUUCGCAAGAGACUUCAAUGCACUCAAAAUUUCUGCUUCUGUCGAGCUAUCAAGGGCACUUGUAGCUUCAUCGCAAAGCCUAGCAACAUGAACAAAAAAAUCAUGAUGUGUUAAUAAUACCAAAGACUGAUGGUCUACAAAACACUUUUCCAUGAAUAGCAAGGAUGUUAUUUCAUAAAAGGGUAAUCCUGGUGUACGAGAGAUACAUAUAUUUGCAUUAAAAUUCAAAAAAAAAAUAGUGAAAUUCAAUUUCUUAUCAUCAACUUGUUUAGUCAUAUUCUUCCUGAAGGAAAACUUUCAAAAUCAUUUGCUUCUCCACAUUAAAGGUUCCAAUAGGUGGUUCGCCAACUCUCUACUCUUUCAACCAAGGAAAUUGAGCAAAACAGACAUCAUAUAUUUGCAGAACAGACUACAAGCAAGAGAACUUACAAAACAGCAGGUGCUUUUAGGAAUGCACGAGCUAGGGCCACCCUCUGCUUUUCACCACCACUAAGCUGCACGAAAAUGGAAGACAAACAUCAGCUGACCCAAAGAAUCACUAAGAUAGAAAUCUGCAAACUACAUGAUUACAUCACCAUAGAGAUUGGUAAUUGCCGCUUAGCUCGAAAGACAAAUGUUUACCAGCUAGGCUACAGGUAUUUGAAAAAGGGGAAAAAAUCUAAUGAAUUGUGAUGCUAUUCUUCUCAAUCCAAAUAUAGAAUCAUUUUUCCAAGAUACAGCAACAGAAAGAGUACUGAACAUAUUGAGAUAUAAACAUCAAGCAUAAACAACACCUCAAAGGAACGAAUUUUUUCCAAGAUAAAACUCACUUUAAGUCCACGUUCCCCAACUACAGUUGAAUACUUUUGCGGAAAGUUCAUGAUAGUAUCGUGAAUUGCUGCCUGUCGAGCAGCUUCAUGAACCUGACAAAUUCCAUAAAAAUUUAAAAUAAGGAAAAGUCAUCCAAGGUACCAAUCGAGAUUAUGCAUGACAAUAGAUUUAUCAAAAACCUCCUCUUCUGUUGCUGAAAGACGACCAUAAUGGAUGUUAUGAUAUAUUGUAUCAUUGAACAGUACCUGCAUUACAACAUGCAUUGCUUCUGUCACGUAUUCUAGAAACCAAAUGCCUAAGAAUUUAAUCUCAAAGUUUCAGAGCAAAUAAGAAAAGAGAAUGAUCUUCCUUUUAUUUCAAACUUACAGUGUCUUGUGGAACAACACCAAUAGAUUUCCGAAGACUCUCUAAUGUUACCUUCUGGAUAUCUUGUCCAUCUAUUCUUAUCUGUCAAAUAAAGAAAAUACUCAAUCAAUAAAGUCAAAGUUACAAGGAAAACUUACACACAUAACCACCUAAUCAAGUACUCCCUCCGUCCCAUUGAUACUGUCAUACAUUCCUUUUUGGGCUGUCCCUAAGUAUUUGUCCUUAAUUGGCUAACAUAUUUCUAUUCAAUUUCUUCAUUUACCCCUCAGACACUCCUUAAAAGUCCAAUGCAUGUCUUUCCAUGAGUCCACUGCUAUUAACAUGGAAACCAAACAAACAACUUCUGUAGCGCAUGACAGCUGCCUAAAGUAAAGCAACUCAGUGACCUCAUUACACGUGCUAGUUAGCAAUGAAAAUAUGAAGUUGAAACAAACAUCAGGCUCCACACUUCUUUAUAUGCUAGUACAAUGCUUAUAGCUCUUCCAGAGGGUGAAAUGGGAAACUAAAGCAAAAACUUUCAAAUUCUAUCUACUGUUGAUAACAAUUGCAAUUCCCAAAGCGCGACACACAUUGUGGGAUGGGGGGAGUAAUAAUCCAAGUCACCAAUUAAAAAAUGUAGCAAGAAAGAUUGCGUUUUUUCUUAAAUAUGUUUAACACUCUAAGUUAAAUGCAGAAUUUUUUAUAGCCCAAUCAAAAAGGAUGCAAUCAUCAUGCAUGCCAAAGGUAAGAUCUAAAAAACUGUCUAACGAAUCAAGCAAAGCACUCCUUUCUCUAUAUCAACGCCACAAAAGGACUAAAUCUACCAUGGGAAGUAUUUAAAAGCAUAACACAUUAGAAACACAUCAGUGUCACAUGAAACACGCAAUACUACAUUUGAUUGUAGUGUACUCAGCGAACCUACUUCCACACUGGUACCCCUAUGUCUCAUGUUUGUUAGUAUUUAUAUUGUAAAGGAGAAUAGCAUUCUUAAAUUACUCUAUUCCCAAUUGUCUCAUAAAGAUACCAUAAUUCCUGGUAAAGAAUUAAAUUAACAAAAAGAAUAAAAGAACCGCUGAAACAAAAACUUUCCAUAGGCACAUAUGAUUAAGUUCUGAAAAUGUGUCUACUUCGAGAGCACGAGGAAAGGAAGAAAGACAAAAGGUUCUUACAUUUCCAGAAUCAGUGUUGAAAAACCGGAAAAGCAGUCUAAGAAUAGUUGAUUUACCUGUCCAUCCAACACUAUAAACAUCAGAAAUUUAUCUUCAAGCCAGGCAAAAUCCAUACUAUUUUCAAUCUUUCUUUUCAACAACUUGGAUUGAACACUCAAAAGAUAAACUGCUGUUAAAGUUUGUCAACUGUUUUCCAUGAUUUGAUAUUUUAGAAUUGCAUACACACUGACAAUGAACCAUAGCCUUGUUGGUAAGAUGCUUCACUUGUAACCAAGAGGUCACGGGUUUGAGUCAUCAAGGGGUUAAAUGGGGAACCAUUAUUGAUCCUCUAAAAUUAAGGGGGGGAAAAGAAGGAAUCGCAAACACACUAAGCACAUGCAAAAAGACUGCUUUGAGGCCAUCAAGUUCCAUAUUGCCAAAACAAGCUCAGAAUAAUUAGUACAGAUAAAAAGCCUUACCACUACCACUGGUUCCAACAAUAGCUACACUUUUUCCAGCUGGAACAAAAAAAGAUACCCCAUUGAGAAUCUUUCUCUCUGGCAAAUAACUAAGAGCAGAAAUAUGAAUAGUCACCAACAAUGUUUCAAAAACAUUCUUCAAAUGCAAGACUAAAAGAGCUAAAGCAAUAAACUAAACCAACACCUAGCACCAACUAAAUAGCAAAAGACAACCAGGAGUGCAUCAUUUAAUAGGUACCUUUUCCCCAAAAGUCAUGAAGGUUAGAUCAUAACAUAGGGGAAGCUGAAUAAAAGAUUUGUAGUUCAAUACUAUGCUAUCCAGAAUCUGAAACCAUAUCGUGGUUCACGAGGUAUCAACAAUCUCCGAGACUUAUUUCUUCUACUUUCCAGUUUUUGUCUAGUCAAAAACACUUUUUACGUUCAACAUUGAAGGAUUAUGCCGGGAUUCAUGACCAUAAAAUAAAGAAUUUCAAGCCCCUAUGCUUUGCAAUUUAUCUUCUAAAAAAUGGAUGUUUUGUUUGUAAAACAAUUGCCCGCUUUUGGGAAGUCAAAAUCUAAAUUGAGGAGUAGAAGAAAACCUGAAAUGAACUUUGUCAAAUUGAAUGCUCCCCCUUCGUAACUUCAAUGGUUUAGCAUCAUCUGCAUCUCUAAUCUCAGCUCUCUCCUAUGAAUGUCAUUUGAGGACAGAUAUUGUUGAUGUACAAUACCAAAAGGAAACAAAAUCAUGAAACCAUUGACAUCGAGCACUUCUAACUAGUGCAGAAGUUAAAGCAUAUGCUUCCGAGGACAAGGCAUGUUUCCUGAAUAAAAAAUGCACCUUCAAAGCUUUUGACUAAAGUUGCAUAACGUGAAAAUAGAAAUCCAAGAAACAUUAUAAAAUUUUAUCUUCAUUUCAGUUAUAACCAAAGUAAUAAAGGAAAGAACUUAACAUUAAAUCUUCACUAUCUAAAUUUUGAGCUAUGUAUGCUUGACUAACAACUGAGACUACAAUUUUUUCUUCUGAUCUCUAUUAAAAAAAUCUGGCUAUUAAACCUUAGUUACGCAUCACCAUUUCAUGCCUAAAAAUAUCCUCAAAAACUGUUCCUUGCAGCCUCUACAGUUACCAUCUAUCACAUUUCUUGUUUGCUUCAAACUCAAACUACUAGUACCCCUUCCAAAAUCCUUGAAAAGGUAUAGCAGACCCUUAAAAACAAAAAACAGAAAAAAAAAAAUCAACUACUGCUACAUCAUCUUUGUUUCUAUAACUAAAAAGUACUUUUCUCCAAAAAUUAUGCGAAAAAAAGAAGACAUAAUUAACACAAGAUAUAGUCUUUAUCCAUUUUAAGCACCCCAAACCCUGAGUCAAUAUUCCCUCCUCAAAGAAAGAAAGGUAACUAAAAGUUCUAUUCAUGUCCUCGACUAUGCUUUCAAGUUAUGGCUUUCAUGAAGGUGCAAUAACACCUGGCCAAAUGAAUGAGAGAGAGAGAGAGACCUAAAUUUUUUUUUUUUGGCUCGGUGACAAAUCAAAUUAAGAAGAUAUCAAACAUCUCCUGCUUGUUGCAUCCCACCUCCACCGGUGGUUAAAUGAAAUUUUCUAAGUUGGUGUCAAAGUUAAGGUCGGUAGGUAGAGGUUAAGAGACCUCAACCUGUAGGGUCAGUAUAUUUCAGCAUGCAUGCUUCUUCAGGCUUCCAUAUGAGCGUGCCACCAGAAAAGAGCCCCUCCUCAAUAUGCAUAUGCAUAGACAAUAGGGAGGACGGGAGAGCUCAAGGAAGUUUAAUAUCCAAUUGAUAUCAUAGUUUCAAAAAAUACUAACAAAUCAACCUGAAAUGCUGCUCAGACACAAGAAUAAGGCGUUAUAAAGUCCAGCAACUUAUUUUCAUGAAUGCAACCAAGAACUUUAACUACCUAUGGAUCUAAAUUGCAAAGAAUAAAACUACCUCGAGCAACUGAAACAUGGACUUCAUAUCAACCAGACUCUGAAUGGUUUCACGAUAUACACUGCCAAGGAAGUUCAGAGGGAGUGAUAACUGGAACAGCAGCCCAUUUACCAUGACCUUUAGGAAAACAACUUCUUAGCAUAGUCAAAUCAGUCUGAAGGAGAGGAAUUUAAACAAGCUAACUUGCAGCUAAAAACUCUACCAGAUCUCCAACAGUCAUCUGGCUAUUCAUAAUUCCAUGUGAACACAAUACCAUAGCAGCUGAAAGAGCUACACUGAAUAUCACAUUUUGGCCAAAGUUGAGAAGUGCUAGACUCCUCUGCGUUUUUAAAGCAGCAUCUUCAUAUCCUGGAAGAAAGUGCCAAUAUCACCAUGAUUCCUGAAUUUACUAUUUUGAACUCACAAAUUCUCGGGGUAAAAAGGAACAAUUGAUCUUAAGGUAUAAAGAGUUCUCAAGAAGGCCACACUGCAAAAUUAAACUUACCAUUUCUCCCAAACCAACCUCCCUUCCCCCCGCCCCCUCCCAAAAAAAAAAAAGCCAAAAUAAAAUCCCCAAAUAAACAACCAGAUUAGAACAAAAAAGGCAACCCAAAAGGAAAACAGAAAAGGUUUUAUAGUCUGUAGGCAACAGGAAAAAUGUGGAACCACCAACCAGAAAAAAUCAAACAAAAUCUCCCUAAUCAAGCAAACAAUCUUAGCAGUAACCAGUCCAAUCAAGCCACUAAUAAGGGCUACCAGAUUGAUCUCAUUUGGCUCUACAAUGUAGUUAUGCAAUUUUAAUUUCCAAAGAGACGAAGAAAAUAACUACUAAAAAGUCCCCGUUAGCACCUGUAUCCAUUUAGUUGAUCUCUAUCUAAGAGAUCAAGCCUCCAAGAUAUUAUUCAACUAUUUAACUUCAUAGAAUGAUAUCCAGUUUGACAUAGUUUGGAUUGUAAGUUAUUUGGGAUAUUUUUACUGUAGCACUUUUUGUGACGUGAUGUAUGUGAGAUAAAAAGGUAAUUGGGAAGAUAAAAAGGUGUAUUGAAAAUUGUAAUGAUGAUGUAAGCAAAUAAAAUUGGGGAAAUAAUGCUCAAUCCAAACAAACUCUCGUUGAUCCUAAUUAGGGUGAAAAAUUAAUCUAAAAUUAAGUGUUUUUCUUCAAAGAAAACUUACUUUUCAGAAAUUCAUCGUACUUUUCAGCCUCGUAUUCCUCAUUAUUGAAAUAUUUAACUGUCUGGAAGAUAAUGGCAAAAGGAGAUGUUAAAUGCAUGAUAAAAAAAUAUAUUAUCAAUUCUACAGUCAAAACAAGACAUAAGAAAGAAAUCUUUGGACUAUUACCUCAUAAUUGAUAAGAGAAUCUAUUGCUCUUGUAUUUGCAUCAUUAUCAGCUUUAUUCAUUGCCUUCCUAAACUUAGUUCUCCACUAGGAAAAACAGAAUUUAAGUACACUUUAGGAAGAAGAAAGAUUAGAUAGUUUCAUCGCAUUGGAGUAACAAAGAAACAUCAAACAUCCUGCAUGGGUGAAUUUGUAGCAGCUAUAGAAUACAGAAAAGACUAAUGAUUGAUGAAUAAUGAAUUCAUCGAAGGGCUACAUUAAGCCCCUCUGAAAGUAGAGAUGCACCUUAGCUCAAGACAAACAGAUUGACAGAAACUAUGAAACCUGGAAGAAAGAUCCAGUGGUAUCCACAAAGAAAUUUGUUUGAGAAGAAAAUUUAACUCAAGAAACAGCAUUUACAAAUCUCAACAGUUUCAUCACGUUGGAGUAACAAAGAAACAUCAAACAUCCUGCAUGGGUGAAUUUGUAGCAGCUAUAGAAUACAGAAAAGACUAAUGGUUGAUGAAUAAUGAAUUCAUCGAAGGGCUACAAUAAGCCCCUCUGAAAGUAGAGAUGCACCUUAGCUCAAGACAAACAGAUUGACAGAAACUAUGAAACCUGGAAGAAAGAUCCAGUGGUAUCCACAAAGAACUUUGUUUGAGAAGAAAAUUUAACUCAAGAAACAGCAUUUACAAAUCUCAACUCACUGGAGAAUACCUGUGUCACGGUCAAAGUGUAAGCAACAUACGUUGCUACUGAGAGGGAAGUGAUCCAUGCAAAUGGAGCUCCGAAUUUGUAGGCAAGAAUACCUGAUACCAUGGAAAUCUGAAGGCUUCAUGUUAAAGGUGUUUAAGAAGUAAUCAGAAAGAGAGAAACAAAAGCAAUUUAAUGCCCACACUAGUGAGAAUUCUACCUUGAAGCAACACAACAUAAAUUAUUUAAAGAAGUAGCUAAAAUUUAAAGACUAUAGGACUAAAGAAACAAAAUGCAUGAAGUCAAUACCUCUAAUAUAGUCGGUAUCAAAUUAAAUACCAUAGACGAAAGAAUAAAAUUAAUUGCACGGCUUCCCCGAUCAAUAAUGCGAUUGAGAGCACCAGUUUCUCGACUGCGUGAAGCAAAGCAAGUUUAGAAACAUCAACAGAAUUUGAUGUUAUUUUUAAAAAAAAUUUAAAAAAUCCUAAAAUGCAUAUGCGAGUAAACUUAAAUCCAAGGAAUAAAUCAAAACAGUCAUCUUUUGCACACAGGAUUGAGUCAGAGAAGGACAGCAUUAUCUCAAAGAUUUAUAUACACGGCAAUAGAUGCAAUUAAGAUGUUAAUAAUAACACUUCUGAAGAAAAUACCUUAGGUGAUAUUGUAGAUCAAGUUCGUGUAAAUGAGAGAAAACCUGUAAAGUUGCAAAACAUAAGUCAAAAUCAAACAUACACAGGCAGCUUAUAUACUUACACAUGCAGAACAACUGAAAUACAGCCAAUCAGAAGCGCACAUAUACUUAUCACUUCCUACGAUCAACAAUGACCUACUGAGAAAUUAGAAGUUGAAAAGACUGAUUACAACAUCCAUUUCUCAAAUGAAAUGUAGCAAAACAAGGAAGAGAAGUAGAUUAGAAGUAAAAGAAAAAUUUUCCAAUUAAUGCUGCUGAAUUCCUUAGCAGUGGCACUAACUAACAAAAAAAUCCAUAGCUCUCUCACUGAAAAGCACAAAAGGGAAAAAAUAAUUUUUUGGGAGGUUUUUGUGGGUUUUUUUUUUGGGGCGGGGGAGAGGGGAGGGGAAUAAGAAGAAGAAGUGUCAUUAGUUAUUACCCUCCUGGAAACAGAUCGAAUGGUUCGCAAUGCCACCUUAGAGAAAACUGCAGUUCGCAAUUCUGGAGAAAAAGAACAUGCCAGAAAGAAAAUUAAGAACCCAAAUUCCAAUAUUUACAACACGUUAUGGUAAAAGUUUAAUCUUUCAUGAAAGAGAGAAGACAAUCCAAAACUCUCAUCAAUACGUAUGAAGACAAGCAUCAGCAAUUACAUCAUAGUGAAGUACCGUUGAAAGCAGACGCCCCAGCUCGUGCUAUCCCAUAGCCUACCAAAACAGCAGCAGGGCUCACAAAAAGUGCUAACAUAGUUGAAUUAGCAGCAUUAAACCCAGCAAGAGCACCAGCAUUGCCUGUUGCUAUCGUUAACCAGUCAACAGCAAACUUGAACAAGAAUGGUACUUGAACAUUCAACACCUGAAUAAGCAAAAAAAAGCCACAACAAACAGAAAUUCUCAACCUUUGAUCUCCAAACAAAUAAAGCUUAGAACAGGUUGUAAUUUUGUUACUUGACAUCUAACGAAUCGUGCACUUUUUCCCCUUACCUUGGCACCAACCAAGAAACCUAAUGCGGCAACGACCCGCAGCUGGAAUUCAUAAUUGUCCUUCAUCCAUAGGUACUUUGCUAGAGUCUGCAGGAUUUUGGCAUCCGGAACUUGGUCUGCUGACACCGCUCCCACUUGCUUUGCCAACGUAGGCUUUUUCCCUUGGGCAUCAUCCCCACUUUUCGUCGAAAACAUCUCAGCUCCAUACCCAUUUGGCAUUGACCCCUAUUGUCCAUUACAAAACAAUCCCAGUUAACAUAAAUAACAGUACAACAUUUCACUAGAAGAAGCAGCAGAGGGAAUCAGAAACCUUACAUGGCUCUGGGGGGAAGGUUUUGCAGGGACAUCUGCUAUAAAGCCUUUGAGGUUCUUGAAAAAAUAGGGGGAAGUUCUGGAAGAGUUCCACGGACUGAAUUUUACGGACAACUGCCUAGCGAAAAUUAAGCUAUUUCGGGGGAUUCUUGAGCCAGUUGCCAUGCGAAUAGAGCUAAUUCCAUUUUGGCAGGAAUAACGUGAAGGUCCGCAAUUGAUUAAGGUCUGUGCUCUAGUGAAUAAGAGCUCGCCAGCCCUAAAGCACCGGGAAGCGAUCGUACCUUGCAUUUAUCUUCUUCUUUUUUUUUUUUCUUUGAGAUCGAUGCUGUUUUUCUUAUUUCUUGUAUACUAGUUUGUUAAUGCAUUGGCUGAAAGCAAGGGCUCGAUUGAGCCUUAUGUGUUCGACAAAAGUCCUUUGUGAGAUACUUUUGGAGGAGAUGGCGGGUCGGUUUUUUUUGGCGUCUUCUGACAAGAAACAGUUGACACGGAAGAGAAACCAAAGACGAGAGAAGCCAGUCACCGCUUUCGGUUUCAGGCUCGAGGAGAAAUUUGAAGAAACUUAAAAUAAAUUAUGUGGACCUUGUUUGAUAGAAAAUAGGCGUUUUUUUUUUGUUUGCCAAAAAAAGAAAAUAGCGUACUAAUAAAGCUAAAACAAAACACUUUCCGAAGAAGUGAAUGCCUUUCUUCUUCUACAAAUUUAUCAAUGUUUAUUGUUCUUUUUCUUUUUGUCCUCCUACGCUACGAUGGUAACUCAAAUGGAGUACUACGCAUAAAUUGGCGCCAAGUCGUAGUGUCCAGAUACAUUGUACCAUAUAGGCACAUGAUUACCGUAAAUUAAGCGAGUUAUUCCUAAUUUCAGAGAAGAAGGCACGAACAAACGGAGACCCCUUUUUUUUCUUUUGGGUAAAUUGCCGUGCAUAAAGAUAAAUUCAAAAAAAAAAAAGAAGAAGAAGAAAAAGGCAAGUGCACCGUUUAAAGUUGAGCAAAUUACCAAUUUGGUCCAUGAAAGCCGAGCUAUCCCCUUUUUUUUUGUUUGGCACUAAUGACAGGUGAAUACUGGGGAAAAAUAGGAGAUCCAGCUAUAACGGUUAUUAAAAUUAGUGUUGAGGGCACACUCGAAAUGUGCUCAAUAUUAGGUCAAAUCAUUUGUUACCUAAAAAAUUUUAAUAUAGAAAUUUCAUCAAAAAAAAUCAUUUAAAUUUUUUAAUAGGAUUUCAAAACAACUUGAUGGUGAUAAUGUUUAUAGAUAGUUAAGCAGGCAACAUGCAGUUGUAGAUAGAUAUUUAAUUGUAAUUGUGAUAGUCGUCAAUAUGGAUUUAUGGGUAGUUCUAUGAUUAAAUUAGAAACGUAAAUUAAAUUUUUUUUAAAAGUAAAAUUAGACAUAUAAAACAAGAUCUAAUUGGUGCCCAUUAGACACUCGUUAAAAUAUAUUUUAGGUGUCAUAUUUGUUUUUAAAUGUAAGAUUAAUUAAAGAAAGUAAACAAAUACAAGAAAAGGUAGAUAAAAUUAAAUUAAAAAGGUAUAUAAAUGCAAAAAAGAAAGAGAACCUUGCCCGUUUUUAAGAAGUGGUGGCAAGCUGUUAUUUUCAGAAAAACUGAAUCCGGAAGAGAUGGCUGGACUGGAUCAGCUGACAGAAACUCGAGUAAGAUGACAAUUUCAAGAUGUCCCUUGUUUGAAAAGCAAUUUUUCUUGGAAUGCAAUUUUUUAACAUAACAAUUGCUACGUUUUUAUGAACACAUUUUUUAAUCACUUUUUUAUCCCACGUCUAUCAAAACACUACAAUAAUUUUUCUACAAAAAAUUCAGAAAAAUACAAUCCAAACAAACCCAGCUAUACGAGAACUUUCCCCUCUGGUCAGACGGAAAAGCUUAACAGCUAAAACUAAUAUCAUGACACACAAAAAUACUUGCAUAAUUACAGAGGGUAGGACGCAGAAAAACCUAGACGCAGACUUUCUGUGUCAUCCUAAUCUUUCAUGUUUCCAAUUGUCUUCUUUUUGUGCAAAUAGCGAGAGAACCAAUUUACAAGUGCAACCGUGGGGAACUAAUUUUUAUGCCUGCCAAGCCUCCCAAAGUCCAGAUCCAUGAGCCUAUUGGAUGCAGGCAUCGGAGCUCGAGUGUAUAGGCCAACUGAUUCUGGAAUGUCAAGAUCAACAUUCAUUGAACGGCCAGCAGUGACGCGCUUGAUGUCAAGCUCGCUGAGUUGAUGAGCUUCAAGUUUUACCUUGUCAAUUAGUUCAAAAUGAUGAGGAGACAUGGAUGCUUCACCAAUUCUUCUUUGCAAGUCCUCUACUUUCCUUUUCUGAUACUCCUGAUUCUCCAUUUCAUUGCCUUCCUCUCCUAACUGCUGGUAUAAAGAUGUUAAGUUUGAUAGUACCCAGAUCUGAGUUGGAAUAUCAUAGAGCUUCUUUGCCAGUGUGAGAGAGGAUCUCAAGAUCUCUCGAGCUUGUCCAGCAUCACGAAGAGCUAGAGCCAAGUUUCCCAAGGCAGUCAGAUAUUGUGAGACAAGUUGCAGACUUCCUAUGAAAUUGUGUGUUAUCUGCAAGCCAGAUGCCAGCCGAAGUCUUGCUUCUUGUAGAUUAUCCUGCCUCAUCAAAAGAAGCCCAUAAGCAAAAAGGACACUAGUUUUCUCCCGCACUCCAACAAAGGAAUCCACUAUGCUAUAUACUGGGCCAAUCAAAUCAAGGGCAUUUGAAGAGGAUUCAGCAUCAUCUAUGCAAAUAUAAGCGACUGCAGCAUAAAUUUGGUACAUUGCUUUCAUUGAUUUGCUCUGUGUCAUUUUUGAAGCCUCGACAAAAUGGAAGGCAGCUUCAUUAUAGCAUCCCAUGGCAUGAGCGUACUGUCCUCUAAGCAUCUCAAUAAUACUCUGACAAGCCUGUAAAAUUGUUGGAAAACGAAGGUACCAAUUUCUCAUUUCUACCAAUGCCAUUUGGGCUUCCACAAAUUCUGACCGCGUAAGAUCCACUGCUACUUUAUUUUCCAGGAACUGCAUUAAAAGCAUCAAGUAGACGCCAGCCAUCCAAAUAGCAGAGUGUUGAAGAUCCACUUCCUUCACCACAUCAUCUAUUCCCAGUUUCUUUAAUUCCUCUUGAAUAGUUUGUAUUCCCGACUGAAUCCUCUUUCCACACUCUCUAAAAAGUCCUUUUGGACGGCUGAAAACGACGACACUGAGAUCAACUAAUGCAUAUAUAGCACCCUUUGGUAGCCACUCCCCAUCAAUAGGAGGAGGUGCCAACUCAAGUUUAUCCCCAAAUGCUCGUUUAACAUUUCCAAAAUAAGCCGGUUCUAUAGAUUCUUUGCCAGUUGAACUCACUCCAGUAAAACUAUUAAGCUGCUCUUCUAGGCGUCUCAGUUUCUCAGAAAGUGCAGAUCUGUCCCUGUAGCCUAAGUCAGGCCGAGAAAGACUUAGAUUUACUGAAUCAAUCUCUUUCUUUAUUUCCCGAAUAUGUUGCGUCCGCUCUAAGUCAGACUUCAUUGCAGCAUCCACUCUGUCCACAUGUUGAGCAGCACUCUUGUAGUCACAGACUCGGAGCAGAUAGAAUAUGUGCAACAUCUCAUUAUAAAAGAGCAAACCAAGGCACUGUUGUCCCUUUUGAACCCCAGCAGAAAAAACAAAAUUGCAACAUCAAUUGACAUUGAAUGUGCAAUCUUUAAGAUAACAACAGAAUAAAUGUACCACAUAUAAACGUUCUAGUGUUAUUGCAUAGAAACAAAUGUACACGGACACAUCCAUAAACCAGGAUCGUCUAUGUACAAAAAUAGUAGUGGCAUUUGAGGUAUGUAUCUAUAAAACAUAAGACAGAGACAAACAAGAGAAAGAAAGCCUCAAGAGAAAAAGUCAGCCAGAUUCAUGCAUAUCACUGGAAAUUUAUAUCUACAGCAGGAGCAUUCUCUGUCCAUGCACCUGAACUAUUUUCAGCUAAAUAAAGGGAAAUAUCUCAGGUACUUGGGUGAUGAAAAAUGUGGAAAAUAAUCAGGAAAAUUGCACUAUAUAUGGAGCCAUUCAAUCCCUAACUACAAGUUCACACAUCAUGGUGUCGUAGCAAUAAUCUAAACAUCUCAUUUUCUUUCAACAUUUUUAAGCAUGAUUGGUUACACAUUUUAGUUGACGAUUCCUCAACUACACCAGCAUUUGAUCAUAACAAAAAUCAAGCAGAGUAGAAUUCGAAAAAAUUCAUCUGGGCUGGCUAAUCCUAGCGAUGUCUUUGGUCCAUGACAAGCACUGGUUUGGUACUGCAUCAGCAACUUCCCCUCCUUAUAAGCAUUUAGUGAAUAAGGAUGACUAUGCUCACAAAAUUUUUCAUUUCGUGUUUUUGAAGUGUAUGGAGAAAAAAAAAAUUUCAGUGGAAGGUACGACAAUGAAGCACGUGAUCCCAGGAACACCUUUGAACCAUACCCUCAAUAUCUAAGGCUUGACAUACUAAAUCCAUUCAUAUGAAGAAUAAGAAAAACAUGUUAAGAGUCAACUACAGAGCUUCCCAUGCUCUGAGACAAGAUAAAUAUUCUGAUCCUAGUCAUUAUGCAGUCAUGCUCCAAAGGGUAGUUCCUUGCUUGUUACUCCUCCUUUCAAAUCUUUCAACCAUACUAGUCUAAACGCCAAAAAUUUAUUACUUAUCAAGCUAUAAAUCUACAUAAUUAGUACAACAAUCUGUAGUGCUAAUAUGAUAUUUAGUGUGUAAGAGAAGUAGUCUCACAGCAUCAUCCAUUAUAUGAUCCUGUAUCACC
rnacentral:lncRNA from 1 species